CGACGACGACGACGACGCCGCCGCGACUAGACGCGCGCAAACAGUCCGCAAAUGUGCGUGUUUACCGUACGCCGUGCAGCGGUUUCGUGCGUUUACGAGUUCGGGGUUUUCUUUAAGUUUUUUUCUCGCAUUCAUUCGUUAUUAUUUUCAUUUAUUUUUUUUUUUCCCCCCGUCCAUAAUUAAUCCGUAACGCCGGUGCUGUGCGCUAUCGGUGCAGUGUUCGGUACAAUGUGCGCGUUCGCAGUGCGUUUGUCCGCCGCGUCGUCCGGUUAGACGAUCAGUAACUUUGUGGGACGUUUUUUUUUUUUAUUCCGCGAAAAAAAAAAUACCAGAUUAAUAAAAGUCCCGAAGGAAAUAUCGUACAGAAUUUCGGAUUUUUUUUUCCGCGAGUGUCGAGCGAUCGUCGAAAAUCGUCCUGCGGGGUAAAAACUGUCCAUCGCCGUCCUGGACGAAAAUACAAAAGAAAAAUAUAUACUUAAAAUAAAAAAAAAAAUGUAAACUCGUACACAGGUAAUUUUUUUAAUUAAAUUUUUUUUUCCGUAUUUACGACUUUGAAUUUUUCAAUCAUUCCUACCCGGAUAAAUAUCUAUUGUAUCAUUUUUUAAAUUUCUUAAUGUUAAAUAACCCCUACACAUGUCUAUAUCUACUAUUUUGUGUUUUACCGAUGAGGUCGUAAAAAUCAAACUUACCUAUAUAACCUUUGGUCUCAGGAAAUAACGCCUAAAUCAAGAAGAGCUAAAGCAGUGGCGUAUUUAUGACUUAACCCCAGAAGGGCGAUAUUAAGGGAGAACAAUCCUCUUAAUAAAAAAAAAACAACUUUGACAUUUGAUAGAAGCUGUGUAAAAGCGAUAUAGCUAUUAAUUACAAAACAAUAUCUAUAUUUCUUUUUUUGAUUUUUGAAAAUCCAUCAAUGAUAUCAUCAACAAUUAAUGCAACUGUUUUAUGAAUUUAUUAUAAGUUAUGCCAAACCCGUUAAGCGAUCCUAGCCCAUUUUUGAUCUCAGCUAAAUUCUUAACCUAUAAACAAAAUAGUAAAAGUAACAGACAUCAUGUCUAAUAAAGAAUUAAAAUAAUAAGAAAGUAUGAAGUCAAAAAGUGCAAGUUGGGCGAGUAUAGUGACCAAAAUACAAAAAGGAGAAAAUGUAACCGUUAUUACUUAAAACUAAAUUAAGAACGUAUGAAAUUCCGAAUAAAAACUACAUUCCGAAUAAAAAAAAAACAGAUUUGUUUCAAUGUUUUCAAUAAGACGUCACAAAAUAUAUUUAAAUAUUAUUAACUACCUGCCUUUCACAUACGCUCAAUUAUUCAAACCUUCUAAGCGUGGAGAAUCUGAAAAAUGCAGGUGAUAUCACCCGUGAACCGUGAAUCCGUGAUCAUAAUGUUAUCUGUUUUCAACACGAAAAUAUCUUCAAAAAACCGUAACGAAAAUUUCUUAUGAAAAAUAAAAAAAUAAAUUUAUUUAUUGAUUAAAUUAAGAAACACUUAUAAGUUCAAAAAUUAUAUAAGAUAUGAUUUGAAAAUACAUCCCUCCUCAAAAAAGCUACUUAGCUAAAGUCUAAGUUUGGCAUUUUUUUUUUUUUUUUUUAAAUAAUUCAGCCUAAUGUCGCUCUUUAUUUUUCGGUCUGAGUAUAAAUUAAAAUAUUUCAAGUCGGAAUAUAACACAUCGCACAAGUCUUAUUUAUUAUAAACGGUUUAGACAUUUAGAAAUAUUACGCCGUUAAGCAGUUCUCCACAUUUGAUUAGCUUGUGUUGAUAAUAACAAAGGCCUAGCUAGACAUUUUUUCCUGGAUAGAUCAAAUGAAAUCAUAUACAAAUUUUAAUAGGGAAGACCAUAAUGAUACACAUUUUUGAUUUUAAAAUUGUGAUUAUUUUUUGGAGAAAAGUUAGUAGGUCCGGAUCUACCAGAAUUACCCGCUGCAGGCUACGCCACUGGUUGAUAACCGCACAACAUUUUAAGCCCUUUUUUUCGCGAGACAAAUUAUACACAACUAUAUAGCGCGAGCAAACGUGCGAAGAAACACGAUCGAUAAUGUAAAAUCGUUUGUAAAUAUUAAACGUAUAGACGUAUUAAUGUAAAUAUUUAACGUACCUUAAAAAAAGAUUUUUUUUUCUCGCUCUAAUAUUUGUCCUAAAAAAUAAAAUUAAAAAAAAAAACCUCGAUUUUAUUUACUCAGCUAUUAUUUUACCUAUACGCGCGUUUUCGAAUGCAAAUUCGAUUAAUUACGAUUCAAAUGUAAAUCACUCCUACGCGUAUAAAUAAAAUUGCGUAAACGACAAUAAUUGUUAUACAUGAUGUAUCGAUGAAAUGGUUAUUAUAGAAAUAUGUGAAAAGUUCGCGUCCUAAAAAAAUAUACGUUCCGAUAGUAUAUGUACGUACUCACAUUUUUAUUAAUUUUUUUUUUCUAGUACCUAUAUUACGUGUUAAAAAAAAAAAAAAAAUGAAAUAAAACUCGCGGCGGCGUUUCUUCUUUGAUUCGAUUAAAACGCUAGACCCGUAACGCGGUAAUAUAGGUAAUUACGUCCUCAGGAGAUAAUCCGCAGUGCGUGCGAGAUCGUAGAGAAAAUAUUAAUAAAAAAAAAAUUGUCAAAAACCAGCGGUGCGCCACAGUUUCGCACGUGCUUAUAUUAUGCGCUCGCACGUUAAAUUAAUAGAAUUACUGCCUCGUACUCGAGUGAUGUAUUUUUUAUUAACACUCGUUAUUUCGCGUAUUCAUCCCGUUUUUUACGCGUAAACUGACCGCGUUACGUAUAAUAACGUUUCGCGCGCCUUCCAAAAUACGUUAUAUGUACCCGCGCAAUACGUAUGCGCGUACGGACGGAGAUAAAGAGACGUUAGUUGUUCAAAUGUUUCAGUUUUUUUUUCGUCCACUCUACACAUUCGCGUUUGUACAAUGUGUAUAUAUUUUUUUAACACGUUCACGACCGAGUCGAGUAUUAUUUGUCGUGUGCCGCGCCGCGUGUUUCGUGUCAAAAACAUUAAAAAAAAAAAAAAUGUAAAAAAAAAAAACGUUUUCGUCCGCGUGAAAUAUUACCAUAAUAUUAUAGUCUGUUGCGCCGUCGGCGUUGUCGUACGUUUUUUCGCCGUUUUCAGUUCAAAAGUGGAAACGCGUGUUGUUUAGGUGUUUAUAGGCACUGCAAAACGAAACUCAACAGGUCGGCGCGAUACCAAUAAAACGGCGUCGACGUCACACUCCGCGGUGCACGUGCGGUUAUUUCCGACGGUGCGUUAACAUUUUUUUUUUUUUUUUUUUUUCCCGUUUCAUUGUCGUCACAUUUUUUUUUCCAUCUAUCACUCGGGCGCAGCAAUUUGUUUUGUUUUGUUUUGUUUUUUUUUUUUUCGGUAACGAAUCGUUUUGUUUUCAAUAUUUCUUCGAGAUAUUUUUGGGCGCGUAUAAUAGUCGCUAGUGAAGUACGCGAUUCUGUAUGUACGUUAACUAACCGUCCAUAAUUGCAGCCAACCACCGUAUAUUAUUAUUGAAAUCGCAGGAAUGACCCGAACUAAACAAUAUUAUCAUCUCGAUUAUUGUAGUACAAUGUUAUCUCUGGUGCGGACGUGACGGAUAACGUUCGAGCGUGCGCAAAGUUCGUCGGGCUGUUGCAGUGUCUGUCCCCGCGUUUAAAUCCUAUCGGUUCAAGAGGGUAGAAGGGUUAAUUUUUGGCGCAUUUCCUAUAUAAAAACACAUUUUCGCGACCCAAAAAAAUGCAACCGCUGCAACGAUAGUUGCUAUAACAAUACCAUAACAAAUUCCCGUUGUGAAGCGAUGCGUGCAAGAAACUAAGCACCAAUAGUUUCCCCAGCAAAGUAUUAUUUUGCGAGAUGAAAACUAUCGGAGUGACAUGUUCACAAAUGACACAUUCGAACAUUUCCAAAAUUACACAUCGUUCUUUUCGUAUUAUAAACUUACAAAUACUUGUUGAUAUAUAAAUUGAUAAACUUAAAGAUCGGGCCCAUAUGAUGGGUAAUUUGCUUUAUGAUCUGCUACAAGACACAUCAACGAUCUUAUGUUUUUCCUAAAAGAGAGACAUUUUUUUUUUACAUAAUUCCAUCUAAUUGUAAUUUAUUUAGUCUAAAUCGUACGAGUGCUGGGUGGUAAAAUGUUUUAAACAUUCAACAAUUAAAUUCAAAUUGAAUAACUAAUUAUUUUUUUUAUAUUCUGAACAGCAAACAUAUUUAUAAUAUAGGUCCUAUUCAUUUUUAAAAUAUAAAUGAAAAUAAACAGUUCCCAGAGACUUGUGGAUAAAGAAGCAUCAUUGAUUUUGAUCUUAAAUAAUAAUUAUAAUGAAAAUGAAUUAUUACGAUAUAUUAUUGACAAAUCAUAAGAUUUAAAACAAAAGAUCCGUAUUAACAAAAUUAGUGUAUGUAUAGUAUAGUGUAUUGGUUUAUGUACAAGUUUAUACAUUUUCAACAUUUAAUAUUUAAUGUGGUUAUUAUCGUCGCGGUGACGACAAUUGUACGGAAAUAAAAAACAUAUGGACUAAUGCAAAUUUUUUUUUAAGGUGGAAUUUUCAAAUUUACAACGCAUACCUGAAUUCUAAAAAUAAAAAAUUAUCUGUUUUUUAAAAUAUUUUCGUGCUCGUAGUAAAUUUUAUUAUAGAUACGCCGAUAGAAUAAACUUAUGCGAAGUGACUUUGCGCAAUCUAAUCGAAUUAAAAUCCCGAAGUUAUAAAUAUUAUGUUCUGAUGUAAUUUAUCGGUUUAAACCGUUAGUCAUGUCGUCCGUUUAAUCAGACGAUUUCGACCAUUAUUGCUAAUAAAGUAACAAACAAUCGUGUACUCCUUCUCUUAAACGAUAACACAAAAUCGAUUUGGGUGUGCGGAUCGGUUGUCCAAUAUUAUAUUGACGAUGCUUAUACCUAAUUGGAAAUUCGGCGAUAAUUAUUAUUAAACCGACGCGGAACAACUGAGACGAGUCUGUGUCCUAACAUAACCCGUGUAUAUAGGUAUGACGUUGAUUGCUGUGCAUUUGAUUAAUUGAGCGAAGAUUGGGCAAUUUAUAUUGGUUUUGUAGCGUUGACCUCAUAAUAGCAAAACUAUAAAAAAAAAACCACUAUAAUUAUGUAUGAAAAUAUUAGUGUUGGUUUUAAAAAGUGAUAAAAAAAAGCGCGACCGUUGUGAUGUCGGAAUUUCGCAUUGUCAUGAUUGUUUUAUGAUUUUUUUUGCUGUUAUAGGAAAAUUUCAAAAUUCGUUUCACCUAACAUAAUUCACCACUUCAAAAGCGAAACGUUAUUUUGGAAUUUUAAUUUUAAAUCGUGUAGGUUUUUUUUCAGAGUAUUUUUGGUUAUUGUUAGAGCGUUUGUCGGUGCAUCCGUGUCCUAUAGUUAUAAAAUUAUAAUGUAUAUAUUACAUUCCAUAGAUGAAUGUGUGUCCAAUUUAUGAAAUUGCCAAUUUUUAGCUCAUCCCGUGAAAUGACCAAGCGAAUCGCUUAAUCCAUAGAAUGGGCAAAAAGUUGCCCAUGCCAUGUAUCGGACUUCAAAAAUGCUGUUCAUUUUAUGAACUGGCAACUAAAAAAGUUUUAAACUGGCCAUAUUUUAUGAAUAAUCAAAACAUGCUAAUUCCAUGUACGAAAUUUUUCUUAGGAAUUUCGCUGCAACAAAAACAUGACGAGAAUAACAACAUGACCUAUUAGAAAGGUCAUUUUUUGAAAUUAUUAUUAAUAUUCGAAAUAAUCAGGAAACGCUGGGUUUUUGGUUAAAAAUAUUAAAAAUUAAGUCUUCAUUGGCAAUCAUUUUUACGUGAAUAUUUUUUAUUGUUAUUGAGUUUUUAUUUUUUUUAAUCUUUUUAUCGUUUUAAAACAAUCGUUAAUUUCAUGGAAAUACGCUUUGUUGAAAAAGCAAUAAUGUUGACUCCGCUCAGAAUAGUUUUUCGAUGAUUCAUUUUUGCGUAUAGAUAGAAAUUAAAUUUCCAUCUAUAUACUGUCUUCCCAACUUCUGACUUACAACAGUGGUACCACUCGUGGUGCGAAGUCUAUCCGUUCGUUUUUUUUUUUUUUUUUUAAUAUUUGUAGGUAUAUUACUAGUAUUGCCCGUUUCACGAAUUGGUCAAGUUCGCCUCUGAAGUAUACGCGACACACGACGAUUUGUACCUUUUUUUCAACUAUAAACACGAGUCGUGUCAAACCGUUGUCAGUAGGCAUGUAUGGUAUCGAACACGGAGAAUCGCGUCUAUUUUCGACAUCGUCAAUCACUGUGUGUCCGUUUUAACAGACGAAAGUGUACACAAGUGAAUAGUGAUACUGUUGUUACAUUAUAAUCCACGCGAACGGAGGCGGACGACGGACGCGAGAAGGAUCAGAGAUUAUAUUGUUUUGCGAACGCAUGUCGAACCCGCAGAGUCGAACGAUAAAAUCUUUUUAUAAUAUGUUAUAUAGCAACCGAGUUCUCACGAUUUAUACCUUUUUACCGGGCGGACGGGAAGUUUAUGCGUGCGCGCUGUGUAUAAGUAUAAGAAUAAUAUAACAUAAUAUUAUAAUAUAGGAGAAGGUUUUUCGCUAUAACGCUUAUAGCUAGGUAUAGGUACGCGUUGAGUCGAUGACAGCAUCCAGUGUGCUCUGUCCGACGAAAAAAAAUAUUAUUACGUUUCAAACGAUUUGAUUUUUUUUUUGUAGUGUUUACAAUGUACGUUUAGAUUUAUAGUGCGGACGAGAUAUUAUGUUCAUCGUGUGUACAGUAGUGUACUCUGCACCGCCACCGUCGUCAUAAUAACCGAUUCCCUACAACAAUCACGAAAAUAUGUUGAGGAGAGGGAACAAAUACACGCAACUAGGUCAUGAUACGAUGCCAUGUGCAGUAAACAGGCAUUUUAAUUUACACCAAAUUUUGCCAACGGUCAGACGGAAGUACGAUAAUAUUCUUUCGAAAUAGAACAUUUAUUACGGCUACGGUUUACAUCUCGAAACGGCGAUGAUGGUUUCCCGGUUCUUUUGACUAUGAUUUUUUGCCGUUUAGGCCUGCAGAAAGACCUUUGUCAUAUCCGUAGUUAACAUCGUAUCGCUAUGCUCAUCGCUUAGCACACAGCGGACGAGCGCAGUCGAUUUCGGGCUGGAACGUGGGCAAGGUACGAUUUAUGCAAUUUAGAUAGUACGUACAAUCGUACUGUAAGCUCGUCUUUAUUCGUGUAAUCGAACGAAAUCGGAAAUCAAUAAACGAAAAUGACGCCCCCCUUUGGCCGUGGUUUGAAAUACGCUAGAAAAACUAUUCGGUGUUCCGGGUCGUUCGGGAAACGUUCCGGAGCCGGUCUGUUCUGGGCGGAAAAUCCGCACUGUCUUCCAUAAAAUAUACGGUGCAGUUUUGUAGUUGUAUAUAUAUAUAUACGUAUGUAAGUAACCUAAAAGCCGUUUUCCCGUGCACUAGAAAUAUUUCAAAAAACAAACAACAUACUACACUAUUACUUAAUGGACGUCUAGAACCCCGACCUCUUCGCAGAGUACACGCCAUUAUUGUAUAUUAUAUUAUGGAGUUGUAACGGUUGAAACGACGACGACGAUAAUAAUAACAACACUGCCGAAAGUGUAUCGUAUACAUACAUAUAUACGUACAUAUACAGGGUGAUUAUUUUUUAUCGCGGACCAGCGGUUAUUCUCGUUCGGCGUAACCGCAUUUCCGGUAUUAUUGUGCGUGUGCAUUUUUUCCCGGUCGCCAAGAAUGUUCGACAACAGUUGUACCGAGAAUCGCCAGUUUUCGCGGUUUGUCGUAGAAAACUACGAGGAAUAUUGGAAACGAAAAAAACCGCCUACUCGAUGCGUCCGCUGGACGGAAAAGCGCCGCGAUAGGGUUCCCGGAACGACGUGUGUCCGGCGGAAGCGUUUGUCGUAAGACAAAAGGAACAAAAAAAAAACCCGCGCACAUGGUCGUACGGUAGUAUGAAACCGAUACGCGCUCAUUCGGCCGGGUACCAAACAAUAACCGCGCCGCUGGCCGGUGAUACGAGAGAAACAAAAACGCUCGCCCUGUAAACCAGUGUGCGGUGCGCGAGCACGCGUUUUGAGUGCCUAACCUAACGGCUCGGUACACUCGGGACACAUUCGCGCGCAACAUAACACAAAUGAAAUAUAUUUAUACACGCGUAUUAUUAUUAUUAUUAUUAUUAUUACGAUAUUGCGCAAUGUAGAUCACACGGUCAUUUAUGACGCGCGCGGCGGCGGACCCAUUUAUUAUAAUAAAUUGCGUUUUAUUAAACGCCGCGGCGCGCGCCGCGUAGACGCGGAUUAAAAAAAAAAACGAAAUACGAAAGUCACGUCGUAUUUAUCAAAAUGUCAAUUACACACACACACGCACACACACACGCGCACACGGUCCGACUCGUGGCCGCGGCCCGUGCACAGCCGUGAAGCGAAUACCGAAGAAUACGAUAAUAUUAUUAUUGUCGUAAUGUCCGCGGUUCGCUCCACCUUCUCCAUCACUCCCCCGGAAUACUCGUCGGGCGGAUUUCUACCGAUCGCUGCUCAUACCGUGCAGGGCGCUCCGCCGCGAUGUUAUAAGUUAAACGGCACGUUUCGGUGUCGGCGUUUUGUCCCUCGGACCCGUCGACACUAAAUGUUUGUGAAAAAAAAAAAAAAUUGAAAAAUCUUUAAGGGGUGAGGGUUUGGGAAACGUGCGUCCCGUCGACGAGAUAUUCCGCGUUUCAGUUCGGGUACGGACAGAGAACAGCCGAGCCCACCGCGCUGCCCCGAAAAUGACAACCUUACCUCGCUCUAAUUUAACGCGAAAGUGGAAUAUCUCGCAAACGGGCCGACGGAAAUCAAAUACGUCGACGCCAAAAUGCAUUUCAUCUCACGUUCCGUCUAUGUUCGGAGUUUUCAAUACAGGUCGCCGUUUUUUUUCAAAAAAAAAAAAAACGAUGGCAAUUGAAAAUUGUAUACUUUCGAUAUAUCACAAUGGGUAUAUAUUCGCGGGACACCGUGUACAUAUAUUCAUUAUAAAUAUUGUAACAAUAUCGUAUUACGCACGUCGAUUCGUGUGCCUGUUUUGUCUUUGUCUAUAAGUUACUUGCCUAUUAUAUACCGGCCAUCGUGGUCGUCGGUAGCGAUACGUUGACUUAGUUUUCGUUUUGUUCUUCUCACGCCUGCCGCCGCUGUGGCGAACGCGAAAGUCUCCGGUGACCUCUUGGUCAUCGCAUCGUCACAAGUCACACGGGACUACGGCGUUCCCCUCGCGCAGAGGCGUCACGAAAUAUCCGAUUCAAACACCGGAGUUUGGCAGCCGUCGUCGCCGUCCGCGUUGUUUUCGCCGUAUAAUCGGCUUUUAUUUUAAACACUACUCUACGGCGUGUAUCACAAUAUUAGUUUGAAAUUUUAAUCGCUCGAUAUUCGAAAGUUAUCGCUAAUAUAGUCGCCCGGGCCCGCGUCGGUUCCGACCCGAGAAGGUUAAGUGUCAUGCGCAAUUACAAUAUAACCGUGUAUCCUAUUAUAAGAUUACAACACUCCUCGAUAUCUCGAAUUUUGACCGAAUCCAGUCGACGGCGCUUUGUUAUUUGAAAUUUCGAUUGGAAUUGUUCAUUGGAAAAAAAUUGCAUCGUAUUUCCCAAGAAGACGGAUACACAGACACGAAAAUCAUAAAAAAUAAUACCAGUAGUCUAAAACUGCUGCUGUAUCUCGGUGUUUUUCGACUCUCACGAGUUUAAACCAGUUCUAUGGCUCUCCUGUAAAGUUGAGAAAAACACGAUUUCGGGCGUUGAGUCUUACAUAGAAGAUUUAUUUAUUAGGUACGUUAACAUUUCAAACUAUAAAUUCGACGAGAAAUGUACUUUGAAUGUAUCAAACUUUUCAAACUUAUUAGAUUUAUAAUGCUCAGUUUAAUGAAUAUUUGUGUUUAUAUGACAUAUAUUUCCGCGUGUUUUUCACUUCCAUAAGCACAAAAUAUUUAAAACUCGUUUACUUGCAACAAGUAUGUUAUCAAGUGACGAAUAUAACUCUUUAUUCUCGCUUUUUUCUUUUCAAAUAUGGUUUAUUUUAAUGUUUAGCGAAUAAGCUUUAAGUUUUAUUAAAAUGUGUGUGUUUGUAUGUAGCAUUUUUUUUCUCUCGAAAAAAACUUUUUCCUUAAGAAUUAAAACUAUACGAUUUUUCGCGCAGUACCUCGAAAGGCUUGAAAGAUAACGAUAUUUUUCCAGGUCGUAUACUUUAUUUGAAAAAUGUUUCAAUUUAAUGCCGACAGUUUUCCUAAAACAUAAAAAACUAACAGAAAAUCGUUUUCGUUGAUUUUACGGUCGGUUAUCUACUUGGCUAUACGAGCAAGUAAGAAAACUCGAAUAAUUUACCUUAAACUUAGCAGUUUAUCGAGCUCCUCUCAGAAUCGUUUUUUGAAUGCUGAAAUGUAUCGUCGCUUUCUACAGCGCAUGCACGAAAUUAGCUUAAAUACACCUUCCCGACUUUCGGCCUACAACCAGAUGGCACACCCAUCGACAGUAUCAGAAGUUUUGUUGUUUUUUUUUUCUCGACGGCACAUUGAUCCUAUAUAAUUUGUGUGUUCUGCACCACCCUGCGUAUUAUCUGGAACGGGAUCAUUACAUUUUUACCAGACUGUUAUUUAUUUAACGGUCCAAAAAAAAAAAAAAAAAUAUAUACAUAUAAGUAUCAAAUAUGCGAAUAAUAAUAAUUGUAUGGACGACCACAAGCCUAUAGUUAUAGUAAACUACGUUAUAAACUUAUAAUAUUGCAAAUGGGAUUAUAAUAAAAUCGCGCGUGCAAAAAAAAAAAAAAAAAUCGCAGCAUAACCGAAAAAACCCUAUAAUUAUCAUUUCGCGUAUAUCAUACACGCGUGCACUUAUCUACCAUAUUAUUUGUUAUUAGGUUUUUAUUUUUUUUUCCAGCCAACCGACCCACCUGUAUAAUCCGCGUGCACACUAAGUAUAAGGUAUAGUUAGGUUAGGUUAGGUUAGGCGGAGCGGCGGUUUGCAGUGGCCGCCGUGCAGCGCGUUUCGAUUCGUCCAAUUUAUUUCAAUUAUAUUUUCGCGCGAUUAUUUCAAUUAAACGAUGGGUCCAAUUACACCGCGCCGUCGUCGAACCGUUCGAAAUAACAUCGGACGGUCGUUGGAAGAGAGUGAAAAAUAAAUAAAGUGUACUUCAUAUUUUCUCCGGGUUCGCUUGAAAAAACCGUACGGAUGCAACGAUUAUAUAAUGUUAUAAACACGAGGAUUUUUCGUCCAUUUUUUUUUUUUUUCAAUACCCGACCGAACACAAAUACAUCGUAUCUCUUUUUAUUAUUAUUAUUUUUUGUUUUUUUUUUUUUCAAAACGUCAACGUCCGCGUUAUGGCAGUUGCGUGUGCUCGACUAAUUUAGCCGAGCGGCUCCACCAUAUAUUUACGCGUAUUCCGUAACCAUGGCUGCGGCCGGUCGUCAUACACACUUUGUGCAAUAUAAUGUUAUACGAACAGGCCUACUGUCGAUGGGGGGCAAGAGGGGGAUGGGGAGGGGGAGGGAGGAUGCUUGUUUGAAAAUAAAAAAAAAAACGUACGGUUGUUACUACUCAUAAUAAUAUCGACAGUCACACCGUAGUAAUAAUAUUUAGGUAGGUAUACAAAACGCAUUCUGAACGCGGCAGAAAAUCCGUGCGCGCGCGACUCAAUGAACUCGUUAUUGUUGUUAUUAUUUUCUAUUUUUUUUUUUCUUCCACUACCGCCAGAGAAAGGUAUAUCAUUUUCUCGUUUCUGUGCGUCUGUAGUUGGCGUUAUUUUAUUUUUUUUUCAAAAGUGGUUUUCACAGCUUCCAUUCAGAGAGCCUAAAAAAAAAAAAAACACAGUGUCGAACGUUCCGACUAUAGGUAUAUUCCUGUAACACCGUUCCACAUAUGUAUAAUGUGUUAUUAUUUUUUAUCGCCGCCUUGUAAUUACCCGCACAUGAUAGUAUUUUUAUUUAAUUUUUUUUUUUUUUUCGUGCGCGUUUCGUCGCGUCUCGCACGUACAGAUGGACACCGCGCGCGGCGUGCAACCAUUCGCACAGCUACGCUAGAGAUUUUCGCGAAAAUUAAAUCUUUUUUAAAUAAUUCACUGCCGCGGUAUAGCUGCACAAUAAUUGGUACCCGCGCCCGUUAUUACACUUAUUCGUAGGUAUGUAUUACUAGGUACUUACUGAUUGACACGCUACACCAUGUACUUUCAAUAUCCGUACAAUGAUGGUAUAGGUACCUACCUAAUAAUAAUAUUAUCACCUCUGCACGGUAUGUUAUUAAAAUGCACGGGGACCGGAUUUCAACGCGGCAGAGUGUAUAUUUUUACGUUCUGACCGGAGCGAGACGCGUAAGUAUUGGUUUUACUACCUGUUACGACGUGUGCUUCUCCUCCGUCCCCCGUGUGCGGGCGGUUUUUACACCGAAAAUCUUGUUCCAACGGUCGUACUUUAGCGGUGCCACCCGAUAGCGGAUUUCGGUUUCUGCAGUCGGUUAGGGAGGUCGGUUUUUGAUUUUCUCGGCAAUUCAGUAGAACGGUUUAAAUGUCCCCCGUCUAGCUUACAAAAAAAUACAAUUUUCGAACGCGACACAAAUGAUUAACAAAAAGUUGUUUUGUUUGAACACAAUCACACGUGUCAUAAAAAUAAUAACUUUGAGUUAAUGAUUUGUGCAGCGUUAGAUAGUUGUAUUCAAUAAGUUAGAGGAGGAAUAUUAAAUACUUUUCUAACUUAUUUUAAAAAAAUUUUUCUAGUGCUUUUUUCAGAGGUUUCUUGACGUUUUUCAAUGUUUGUUUUACGGAAUGUUUAUAACGAGUCCCGUGCCCUAAAUUUAUUAUGUUUUUUCACAUUUUUCGGUAUUAUUUUUUAGACGGUCUUUUUUUUACGGUGAAUUUUCGAUAAUUUGUAGGUAAGUUUUUAUCGUCGGUUCCCGUUCAAACCGAACCGUUCGACAUCAUAGAAUUGAAAAUAAAUAAUAUAACAAAACAAUCGUACACGGAAAAUGGUCGUCCGACCCGUCGUCGUUUUAUCGAAAUAAAAAACGACGCUUAAGCCGCUUAAGGGUACGACGUGCGAACGGCUCGCGUAUAUAUAUAAAAAAAAAAACAUUAUAAACCGUACUCGCGUUACAAUAAUAUAUUUUUCGAAAAUAAUCAUCACUCGUUAACGCCGUUAUGUUUCGCGUGCAACUCGCCUGCCACAACACAACGUUAAAAUAAUAACAAUAUACCUAAAUUAAAAAAUAAUAAUACGCGCUCGCGGUUUUCCGUUCUAUCGCGUAUAUACCGGAUAUGGAAAACACGGGGCCCCGCCGCAGUAUUUUAUAACAGCGCGCUCACAAUUAAAAUCUAAAAAUUAUUAUAACACGGUUUUUAUCAUCAUUAUUAUUAUUAUUCUGUUGAACGACCGUGUACGCCGCUCGCCGAGUGUUGUUAUUACACUAUUGGCGUGUAACUGUAAAAUUUCAACUCGCGAAUUUGACGCCGUCGUAAAUUGUAAUUAUAAUAUUAUUUUCGAUGGGAACGAAUAUUUAUAUCGCGUACGGGUAUGUGCGCGCACGCGUACGGCGAAUACGUUUUCACCGUAACUUGUCGUCGUUUUUCAAACUCGGAAUUGCGCGCGAAACGCAUAUUUGAUUAAUAUUACGGGUGCAACAGUACUGGCACCAUGCUGCAGCGUGUAAUCGUUGGCCGGAAACGAUCUAUAACCCUGAAAAUAAAAAAUAGCCGAAUAUUUGAGCAUUAAAAUGUUCGAGUUGUAAUUGUAACAGACGAAUUAAAAAAAAAAAAAAAAAUUAAGUUUCGGUACUUGGGGGAACGAGGAUUAUCACUCUCCCGAAGUGGAUACGAAAAAUAGCACUAGAUGAUAGCAUGCGCGGUGUAAAAAGGAAUAAUGUAAUAGUCAUCAAAUUGAUGAAUAAUUCAAAAAUGCAAAACAAAUAAUAUCAAACAUUUAAAUAUCCUUAAUAUCAUUAAAGAAAAAAAAAAAAAAAGUUGUAACCGCUCACGCAUAAAAUUAAUUUAAUUAGCUAAAUAAGUGUAAAACAAAGUUUGUUAGGCACCCAAAAUAAACAGAAUUCAAAUAUAUGUAUAAAGUGCUUCCGACUAACGAUUGCACACUGUAUACGUGUGUCAAUACAUUAUUUGAAACUGAUGCAGGAAUAAUUGUAACGGAUACGUAUAGUUUUUGAUGUCGCUUCGUAUCUCGGUGCAAUGCCGUUUUACGCCGUCGUUAUCGCGACUUAUUCUUAUAUUCACAGGGCGAUUUUUAUUUAUUUUUUUGAACAUUAUACGAACCGCAGUGGUUUCCAAUGUUUAAAUUAUAUCUGUUAGCUAUUACAGGGUUAGGGGACGCAUUGUGUUAACAGCAAUUGGUUUCAACAAAACAACCGGCUAAAAAUAAAGAAAACUCCAUUAUAAGCCCUUUGAGUACGGAAAUAUUUCACUUGAAAAUAAAGUUAAUAAAGCAGAAAAAACUAGUAAAAGACAUUUUUUUCAGACACUGAGUGUAGCGAAGAAUGCAUUGGUUUUACAAUAAGAUGUCUAUUUUUUUUAUUUUUAUUUUUCAUACAUAUGAACACUCUUUCUACCGAAAAGCUUACUCUUAUUUACUGGUGUAGCGCUUUUUCUGAAAGGAAAUCUGACGCGUGGAGGGGGGGGGCGGAGAAAUUCGGGAAAAAGCGGGAACAUACGUAGGAAAAACGGAAAAUAGAUACGACAUUGAAAACGAAUAUUGUUUAGGAAAAUAUAUCGUUUUAUAACCGUUUUACCGUACCGCAACGUGACAUAAAUGUCGUUCGCAAAGCGUUUGGAACGGUUAAUCGUCGCGUACAGACGUACCACAGAAUUUCCCUGUCUACUACCCUCCCGACGACUCGUCAACGACGGUGCGCCGUGCGAAACGUGUCCGUAUAUAUUUAGACUCGCGGUUUUACCAGGUCGACAACCGACGGCGACGAGACAACCGCCCCGUACCGUUUAUGUUUUCGCUAGCUCCGUGUCGACACGUUGACGGCACGUCGUACGCGCUGGAGAUACGAACGUAACAUGUACACGCGAAUAUACGAUCUCGAUUGUUACUCUGCGGCGGCGGCGGCCUGUCGACUCGGGCCCGUAAAUACCCGUACAUAAUAAUUCCGAACGCGGACUCCGCGGCGCGCGUUGGCCGACAGCCGGGCGGCCGUUUUGUCGACGCGACCGGCGGCCGUAUACGGCAACGUCCCCGCGCCGCGCGUAACACGUCGGUAAUCGGUCGGUUAUCGCGCGGUCGAUCGGGCGGCGCAACAGUUUUCCCGUGUCGCGGGAAUCGCCCGUCGGCCGGACAGCCGGGCGGACGCGGCGCACGUCCCCGCGGGUCUGGGCCGUCGCCGGGACGCGCCGCGCCCGUUACGGUUUUACGCGCCGAAAACCGCGCCGCGCGACGAUAACGACACUAUCGCUGUCGCACCGUGAACCGGAGGGACGGUCGCGAACGCGCGUCGAACGUUUCCAUUUGUUUAUGUUGGUUUUUUUUUUUUUUUUCUGUCGCGUAAAACGCGUUCUCUUUUUUUUUCUCUCCGAUACGCAUCAUCGUAAUAUUAUUGUCGUCGCCGUUUCGCCCGGACACUCGGUCGUCCGUCGUACCUACUGACGUCGUCGCAGCGGUACGGCAGACGUUUUUUCACCCCGCCUUUACAGUCCCGCGCGUCCGAGCACGUACAACACCUAUUUCGCGCGUUGCAUUAUUGUCGCGCGUACGGGCGUUUUCCGUUCGUUUUAAACGACGCACUGCUCGCACCGUAACGCUGCCCGUCCCCGCCGCAGCGGCGGGAACGAAUGCGAUAAUAUUUACGUAAUAUUUUUCGGUCGGCGGCGGCGAGAAAAAAGUCUUGUCGCCGACGGCUUAUCAAACCAUCGACGUUAUUGCGUUUUCCAUAACGGCGGCAAUCGGUACGCGACCGUCUCGCGGCGGUUUUUACGCGCGUGUCGCGUGGCCGCGGAUUUACGGAUUUCGAGGCCGGGCGCUUUGCGUAGCCGAAGCCUUUGAAUGGCCCGGGGAAAAUGAAACGUCCGCCGAACGAUCGUUAUCCGAGAAACUCGACGAAUACCGUGCAAAACGUUUCAAACGAUUCCGGCGAUUUUCUAAUUUGGUAACGAUUUAUCAACGGUAAAAUCGUACGGACACAAAUCGAAUUACUCUAUGCGUUCUACCGACUGGACAUUUUAGUUUUUAUGCUUUAAAAAUUUAAAAAAAUUACACGUUUUGUAGUCAUUUUUUUUAUCUUUUUUUUUUUUUUUUUUUAGAAACAUUGACGUGUCGCAAUAUUAUAAGACGUAUCGUCUAUACACAUAUGUAUACACGAGUGUAUACCUACUCGGUAUAAUAAUACCGAUAAACGAGCCUAUAGAACAACAGCACGUACCUAUAAUAAUAACUCACCUACGUCAUUGACGAAAAGUACCUAUAUAUACGAUAUACUAUCGUGUGUUUUGCGCCUAUAAAUUCGUAUUCGAGAACGAUAAUUAGUACGGCAUUAUUUAUUUAUUAUUGUUUUUUUUUUUGAUAUUACCCAUUAUACGUUUGUCCUUUGUCCGUUCGGCUGUUAUAAUAGCCGGCAAUGAUAAUAACAAUAAUAAUAAUAAUAAUAAUAAUAAUAAUAAUAAUAAUAUGCGCGCGAUCGUCUCUCCGAACUGCGCGCGUGUUAUUUUGUCGACCAUCGCCGUAUAUUUACGGUCGUGUAAGUCGUAUAGAUUUUUUUUUCGUUUUUAACGCGCCCGCGACGGACUACGACGUAACACAACGUUCGUUCGUCGUUUUUUUUUUUUUUUUUUUUCCUCUCCGUUUUGUUCCGUCGUCAUCUGCCCGCAAACGGCGAACGCGCACGCAUGGUGGGUCGGACCCGAUUCGAUAUUAUAUAUUAUUACAAUAUAUAUGUGUGUAUGUGUGUGUGUGUGUGUGUGUGUAUAAUAUAAUAUAAAGGUAACUGUGGGUACCGUUUUUUAAGUGCGCUGACGCAAUGCGAAAUGCAAAUAUCGGAGCGGCACGACCACGUCGUCGUCGGGCGUAUAUUGUUGUAUUUUAUUAUAUUAUUAUAACGUUGUGUGUAUGUGUGUGUUUGCUAGCCGACUCUGCGACCGAUAAGCAUCCGUUUUCAAUAAAGAAAAGGCGCAGAGAGAGAGAGAGUGAAAAAAAAAAAGAAGAAAAACAACGCGACUUCGGUAUACUUCUAUAUACAAAAAAAAAAAAAAUACAAGACGAUAAAGUUUCAUUAACGGGCGGUUUUUGCGGCGCGUGCGCCAGCUGUGCCAAGACUCUCGUCGUACGUGGCGGUCGUUUCCCUCCCCCUCCCUCCCUCGUCCGUUCGUUCGGUUUCGAUUCCGUUUUGCCGCUCGGAAACCGCCGCGGUCGUCCGGUCACCAAUGUUUAACCGUCGUGUUAUCGUCAAUGUCCCGCGGAUAGGUGUUUAAAUUUCGACCGGUGACGCGUGCAUACGAUUUCCGAUCGCACCUUCUACCCGUGCAUCAUAAUAUACGCAUGGUGCACAAUGACCAUUCGUCUGACGGAGGCUCUGGCCUAGGACGCCGUUGAAUGCGGGAGGGGGCGCGCCAAAACGAUUUUAUUUUGUUUGUAUUUUCCUUCGAAAACUUGUACCGCCGACCUAUUUCGGGAGAGUAUGCGAGAAUUUAUAGGGAGAGGGACCGAAGAUUUGACGGGUCGCAAAAUAAAAAAAAACAAAAAAAAAACGAAAAAGUCAUAGCCAAAUCAACCUCCCCUCUCCGGCCUACUGGCAGCAAAUCGCGAUAUCACGUUUUCCGUAUGGCCGAACAAUUUCAGUAUUACGUUUAGGGGAAAAAGCAACAUACAAUCAAAUAUGUUUUAAGAUUUCCAGUCAAAUAAAUUAAAAUGUCUAUUUCCACCAUGUCUAUUAGCAGGCACGUAUAAUUAGCCUAGCGAAUAGAUGUAUCGUUUCAAAAAUAUUGCGAUCCGUCGCAUGCUGUGUAUAUCCUGUACACAGUUUUAUCCGCCGUUCGAGUCUAAAAACCGGGAAAAAUACGCACCGUUGUCGUCGUUCCACUACCGCUGGGUUUUUUACUAUUCUGUUUUCGUCCUCUCCGCGUUUGUUGUUGUUGACGGAGCUCGGCCGACGGUGGCAGCCGCACCGUAAUGUCGUACACCACAUUAUACCGAUACACUAGUUAUAUAUAUAUAUAAAUGUAUACUUGUUUUAUUAUAGGUAUAAUACAUAAAAAUGUAGGAUUUAUACUUUCGAAUCGAACAUCGUGAUGGCCGUUUCCCUUUCUACGCCGUGUUGUACAGGUAGUAAAGGUACGGACGCGUCCGUUAAGUUUAUUGGAAUUUAUUAAAAAAAAAAAAUCUAAAACGCCGUCUAUAGUCGCACAAACUAUAGUUGGUACAUAAUACCCGUACGCACGGCAUAAUAUUAGUUUAUAUACGCGCGUACACGUUAAACCGAACCAAUUACGAGAGCCGUAUAUUAUUUCGUUUAUAGGUUGGUAGGUAGGUAGGUAGGUAGAUAGGUAGGUAUAGGUAUAGGUAUACGGCGGCGUGUAUAAAGAUGUGCUCCGCGGCGGCGCGUAUCGAUAACCGCUAAUUUAGACGCGGAGUCGUAAAAAUUAACGAUUCAUUUUUGAAAACGUCGACGAUGAGACGACGACGACUGCGACCUAGGUCGAGAGAAAAACGUGGCGACGGUCCGCGGCACCGGUUCCCACGAGAUCCAAAUCCGGAUCUUUGUACCGUGUAUACACCUAUAAACGUACACGAUCGGGGAGGGGGGGGAGGGGGUUGGGGAAAUGCGUCUUCCGUAACCCGGGGCUAUAAUAAUGUAUAAAGUCUGUUGGCGAUAACCGUAUAAUGUUAUUAUUAUUAUUACGGCGAUAAGUUGUUGAAAUUUUAUGACGUUUUAAGUAAAUAAAUAUAAUCGUAUCGCGCAUGUGCGUUUAAUAUUAUAAUAUAGGCGGGCAAGAAAAUAUUUAUCGACCGGUGAUAAAUAACGCAUCUAUAAUACGUAUAAUAUGUAAUACAGGUAGGUAGUUAGAUACGUAGGAUAACCAGUUAGAUUUUUAACGGAGAUAACGUCAAUACUGUACUUAUUAACGAUAAUGUAGUCAUCAAUAGGAUACAGUGUUUUAAUUUCUCCGCGGUUUUUUCGCUAUACAUAUUUUGUUUUUUUUUUUUUUAUCCACCGGUCGGAGAACACCUAUACUGCACAAUAUAAUGUUAAACGGUGGGAAAAAAAACCCUGCGAAAAUUAAGCCGUUUAAAGAACCUGGUCGCCGGUAUAAUUAGUUAUUUUCGGCGGGUGUCUCAUGUCUCGCACGCAACGCUAUAACAGUAUAGUCGCGUCAUUAUAGCAACUAGUAACGUCGAUCAGGGUAAUCCGAAAAUCCGGAUUUCGGAUUCCAAAAUACGAAAAUUCCAAUUUUGGAUUUCAAAACGUAUAGUUAUGGUUGGUUUUUGUAACGCCUACAGGCUUUUUUUUUAUAAAGGAAUCUGAAAUACCGAUUUUAAAUGUAAUUUUGGAUUUCGAAAAUCCGGAUUAUCGAAUUUCGAUCAAUCCGAAUUUGUCCACUAUUGACAAGGCAUUCCCAUUUUUACGAUUAACACUCUCCAGUCAAGUUUAGGGAUAUCGAACGGUUAAGAACGUAACACCUUUUCGACAUUUUCAAUAAAAUAUUAUUAAAAAUAGAAGAAAAAAAUAUACAUUUAAUCGAAUGAAUAUUAGAAAAUAAUCGAAAAUCACUAAAAACGCCGUUCCUAAAAAUCGUAUUUUAUUGGAAUCUAGGGCAAAAAAACCCACUAAAUAUUUUCUGAAGAAGUGUAUUCUUAGACCCUAUAAUCAUGAUUUUUUUAACAUUUACAUUUUUUCAAGAUAUCCGCAUUUUUAUUUUAGCUGUAACCACUUGUUAACAAAUGAUAAUAUUUUAGAAAAAAAGUCAUUCAACCCAUUUGCCCUAAAUUCAACCGGACAGCGCAAUUAUCGUGAAAAAGCGGAAUGCUGUCUUUGUUGCUUUAUUACGACCGUGAAAACAAUCGAUUUUGUUUUUAACCUAACCUAACAAUACGAAAAAUAUGUUUUUGAUCUAAUCUUAAAGUUUAUCGAAAGCAAGAUGAAAAGGCGAAAAUUCAAAGUUCAGUCACUCGACUUGUGAUUAAGAUUUCGGAAAAAUUCGCAUAGCAAAUUUCGAAAUUACGAAAAAGACGUGUACAUAUUUUGUUAUCUGUAUUACAAUACCGUCAUCAUCAAUCUCAUGUCGUCCAAUGACGUUCCGUCGAACAACUUAAUCGAUCGCAUUUACGUGUAAAAAAAAAAAAAAACCUAUCCGAUAUAUUAUAAUCAUGGGUACGUAGUUACCUCGGUAGUUACCGAGAUAAAUAAUAAGUAUAACCUCUAAUUUUCUGUCGGAAAAACGGCAGCGCCACCGGGUCCGUUUGCGUUUAAGGUUUUUUUCUUCCGCUCUUAUUAUUAUCCAUUUUUUUCCGCCUAUAUGACAGGGCUUACCAAACGGCGAUUAUCGUUUUUUUUUUUUUUUUAUAUAUAUAUAUAUUAUUUUUUUUGUUUUUAGCGCCUCUGUCUUCGUAGUUAUAUGUAGUUUCUCGCUACUCCGUGAUUUUUUUUUUUUCAUUUUUUAUUUCAAUUCCGAAACUCUCGACAGUGUUCCGCGCGAUAAACCGGGCGUAAUAUAUUAUAACGAAUCUAAACGCCGGUAUAUUGUUGGUAAAAAAAAAAAAAAAUAAUAAAAUAUGAAACCUAUUAUUUACGACUAUAUAUAUAUAUACACAUCAUUUUUCGCGGGUAUCGUACCCAGUUCACACUUGUGGCCGGGAAAUAAUUGUCUCGUUUUUUUAUUUAUUACCGUAUCGUAUUAUAAUAUUAUACGUUUAUGUACAGUUGGUCCGCAUAUUAUACCGGCUGGCAAAAGUCGAUUCCGGUGUGCAAUUAUUAUAUUAUUAUUAUUAUCAUGCGCCGUAGCAUGAUCCGCUCGGCAACAUAGUUUAUUUUUAUUUUUUUUUACCGUAUCGUAUUAUAAUACGAUACGAUUAUAAUAUACAUACCGCGGUUAAAAAAAAAAAAAAAGAAAUACAAUUUUAAUAAGGAUUCGGUCGUUGUUAAAUUGACCGGCCUAGGUCCAUAAAAUACAAAAAAAAAACCAAUAAACUUUUAUGAUAGAUAUAUAGCAUUUGGUAUCCGCAUUACAUACAGUGUCAUUGGAUUAUAUUGUCGACGUACAGCGUCGGCGGCUUAAAUCAAAUCGAAUUCGUAAUAAUGAUAUGCUCAUCGAACACGCGCAUAUUUUUGUGUUUUUUUUUUUUUUCAUUUUGCGUUGUGUAUUUUUACGUAGUUUAAUAUUAUGUUGUACUUCGAUUAAUGACCUAGAAGGGGACGGAAGAUUCUUAGGUGUUCUCGGUAUGCAAAUUUAAUUACGGCAUACUUUAGUUACACGGAUGAAAUAAAAAACAAUUUAAAACAAAAAAUAAAUAAUAAAGAGAAAUAAAAAUGGCAUAACAACAAUAACAAUUUAAUAUAAAGAGUCUAUCUGACUGUUUGCCGGUCUAUUAUUGGCUUGAAACAGCAUGAGUCAACUUGAUAAAAUAAAAAAAAAACUAUGCGCUGUAUUGUGUGGGUAAGUUAAAGGUGUACGCACGUAAAACGUCAUCUUUGAAUCUCUGUAUUUUUUGGUACAAUAAAAUCAUUACUGAUUUAUAUCACAACACUAUUAUGUCCUCAUAAUUUUAGUGGAUAUAUUAUAGUCGAAUCCCUAUACUAUGUGGGUAUCUAUGGUAACACGGAUGAAAAACAUUAGUUCGCCAUUGACCAACUUUUCGCCUAUUUGUUUUCGUUUAAUAUACUGAUACGGGCAAAGCAAAACGGGAAUAAAGGUAAAAAUGAUAAAAAAUUGGCACGGGCAACGGAAAAACACCGAGCACGAGACAGUUAUAGUGUGUAUAUAAAAUACAACGGCGUUAUUACUGGGGGGGAAUAGACCCCCCAUAAAUUGUGUUUAUACAUUAAAUUUUACCUACAAAUUUGCAGAAAAUACUUAAUUGCCUAGCAAUGUUGGCAAUUCAUUAUGAUGUUAAAUUUUUGAACGAAAAAGUCAUUAAUGAACUUCCUAAGAAGCCAUACAUAUUGUAAUGUGUAUAUAAUUAAAAAAAAUGAUAACAAAUUUGCUAAACUUUUUUUAUUAAUUUGCAUAUGUAGUAUAGAAUAAUUUUAUUACAUUGAUAUGGGACGAGAAUAAAAUGUAGAUACGGAGAAGGGGGCUAAGCCCUCAUAAGCUUCUUAUGAAUAUUUAUUUUGAUAUUCCCCUUCAUGAAACGUUCUCAAUUACGCUACUGCGAACGAUAUCAACGUGAAUAUUGAUUUCGUUAAACUAUACAAAACGCAAUAGUUUAUGUAUUCAUGCGUAUUCAUCGAGCCUACUUCAGUUUUAGGUACGAAUCGAAAUUGUACAUUUAGAUCUUUACGGGAGGGGGGGGGGGUCAUCGAAUAUUUUAGUUUUAUUCCUCUGACGGAUAAAGUAGUAUUAUGCUAAUAAAAUGUAUACCGGCGAACGUAUUUCUUAUAGCAGACGAAAUAUUAUAUGACGUAUAUCGAGGAUUUUAAACGUAUUCUCCGUUUUGUUCGCGGAGUCUCCGGAUUCAACAGGUCUAAUACUUAAAAUACAGGUACCUCCUAUAGGUACGAAUAUCAUAAUUAAUUACCUCGGCGUACGGACUCGUGUGUGGCAUACACGGCGCGAAGGUGUACGUGAAAUGAAGAAAAAUUAUUAUACGACAAACGAGCGCGUGCAUCGCGCGAUCGCCCCGACGACGACUGGUUUAAAUUGAAUUUUUAUAAUAUCACGUCGAGGCCGUCGCGUCUUCUUACCGUACGUCCAAACAGAUUUGUUGUGUUAUUAAUGAAAAUGAAAAUGAAAAAAGAAAAAAUUACAAUAAAAAAGAAUUCGUUCGGUCAGCGGCACUUUUGACUGACGGCAAGCGCGCUAUUUGUCGCGACCCGAAUCGAAAAAAAAAAAAAACAAACCGGUGGGCGGGUUAAUAUUCCGUAUCGACCGUACCUAAUAGCAUUAUUUAUGGUUUAAAAAAAAAAAAAAAAAAUGGCGCUCGAUAAUAUUCGAAUAUCAUAAUAUCGUAAUAAACGUAUCGGAUAUUCUCUUCUCUUCGAUUUCGGUCUAAAUUCUUAAUAUGACUUUUAUAUAUAUGUGUAAUAUCUAUUAAUAAAAGACAUUUUGCGUAUUUUUCUCUACACGCUCAAAACUAUUCGGCUGAUUUCGCUGAAAAUGUCACGGUUUGUUCUUUAUUGGUUCCGGGGGUGUUUAGAGAGUGAUUUGAAACGGGAAAUUUACCCAUAAAGCGGUGCUUAUCCAGAAAACUUUUCCCUAAAAUACGAAAGUUUUUCGAUUUUUCGUUUAACUCUUGCAGGUUAGGUGAACCUAACUAAAGUUUCAAACAUCCGCGUAAUCCGCUCCCCCAAAUGUACUGCAUUUUCCGUUUCCAUUAUUUCUUCGUCGAUAUCUGAUGUAAUAAUAUUUCGUUACUCUAUUCUGCAUCCAUCGUUUGACGGAGUAUUUUUCUCUGUCGUUUUUCGGUUAAAUUUUUAACUGUAUAGGACAUAUUUUCGUUUACGAAACUUCCAUCAGCCCGCUCCAAUACCGUUUUAGGCACAUCCUGAUAUUCGGUUCAUUGUAAACGACCUUCCUUCUUCUCGGGGAUGAUCGGCCACUAUACAGGAUCGUCCCGUCACACAUCCAAUGCUCCAAUCGUAUUCCGCCCGUCCACUGAUGUUAAUUUCACGUCUGACCUUACGUUCAGAGACGCGGACGUCUCAUCUGUUAGCCGAAUCUCUGCACCUUCGUCUCUCGAACGGGUCAUUUUCCAUAACCGAAUCGCGCAUAUAAAAGUGGAUUUCGACAACCCGUCUAUAAUCUGACGUUUUUUUACGCGUUCGCAUCAUAGUAAUACUGCCACACUCAUAAAUUAAUUGCGGCGCAGCGUUGAUGGCGAAAUCAUCGUCCACGCGUGGCAGAACGGCGUCUGUAACAAAUUUAUUCCGCUCUACGCGUUUCUUUAUUUCUCGUAUAGCCGCGCAUCAAAGGUACUCGGACGUUAUUAAACUCACGAUUCGCUGAAGAAAACUUCACACGUUCAAUAAUAUUACACUUUCGACGGCGAUAGAUACCUGUACGCGAUAAUAAUAUGAUUAUUAUAAUACAAUAAUGCCAUCUCGACACCUCGACGCCGGGUACGGAGAGUUGUCCGAAAACUUAUAACGUUUUAAACAUGACAGUGUGGUUUAUCUUAAUAAUGUUUCGCCGACUUGUUAAUUAUCGCAAACGGAUAUCAUGAAACGCGAAACUGCGCGCGUACCAAUUAACCUGUCAAAUGAUCGUGUAAUUUUUACGAUAUUUAAGUAACGUGUUCAUUAUAGUAUCGCGCCGAUAUGCGCCGCGGAAUUACAGUUUUAACAAAAAAAAAAACAAAUCUAAACGUUUUUUUGACGAUAAGAUGUGUUUUUUUUUUUCGUGUAUACAAAUCUCCUAGACGCCGUCGUCGGCGUACCGCGAAAUCUAAUUUUUCGGUUUUUUUUCUUUUUCUUUCUACUCGUUUUAUCCGUGUCAAAAACGUGACGGCCCGGGUAUUAGUACGACCGCCGCCGCAUACGAAUCGCGAGUUUCGAGAUUAAUAACAAAAAAUAAUGGCCGACGACGUGUUUAUUACUCGUUUGUAUAGGGUGUACCCACACGGUCGGACAAUCGCAAUUGCACGAUACAGGAAAUUGUCAAAUCUCGCAGACACACACGCUCUGCGGUGUAAUGUAGCGAAUACGAUGUAUUAUAGAAAAAGACGCGGAUAUUGUUUUUCGCGAUUUCGGUAAUAUAUUAUUAUUGUACAUUGACGGGGCAUGGUUGUUUUUUUUUUUUUUGCUAACGCGUGUCCUCGAAAAUGACGUUUGCCCGAAAAUAGUCACCCCCACUAAAAAAAAAAAAAAAAAACUUUCGAAACGAAUUCAGAUUUAUAAAAUAUUAUCAUACAAAAACGUCGUCGGCAGGACACGAAAACAAAAAAAAAAAAUCACGACCGUAAUAAUAAUAAUGCAUACCCAUUACACCUACUCGCUGUCAAAUAUUACGUUUUUGUUUUUGUUUUUUUUUUUUUUUAAAUACAGAUAUUUUGUCGGUUCGACGCCGUAGACAUAAAUUAGCACCUGCGUACACAACCGAUAUUAUUAUAAUAUAUUACAGGCACAUCCUAUAUAUAAAAUAUAAUCCGUGCGCUUCGGUAUAUAGGGAGACAGUGUGUCCCGCAGACAUUAUAUAGGUGCAUUUAAAUAAAAUAUUCGGUUUUUUUUUUAAUUUUUACAUAAUUAAAACGUGACUUUUAACUCGAAUCCGAGAAUAGACAGUGUAAUUAUUAUGCGGCGUUUUCGUGUUAAAAUAUUUUUUAAUAUAUUAUUAUAAUGACGUCGACGCGAUAAUGUAUAACCUAACCGUACAGUUUAAACAUUAUAAAUAUUAUGAUAUUAUAAUAUUAUUUUUAUAGUGCACUACCCACUGUAUAAUAUUUCGCUAUGGGUAUUGCACUGAGGAUUUUUUUUUUUUUUUUUUGUGAAAUAUUACUAGGGCUAUAGCACCGAGAUUCGAUUACCGAGUCACAAUAAAGAAAAACUGUUUGAUUUUUUUUCUCGAUACUUCCACGCAUUGUACUUUCACGCAAAUUUUAAAAGUCUUGACUCACGUGGUUUGGCCAUGGAGACAACGUUUAUAUGUCUGUGAGAAUUUUUCGAUACCAUACGAUUUAAUUGCACCGCUUCCAUCUUAGCUCGUGUCUUUGAGUGCCUCUUCGUCGUCCACAACGCUCAGCGAAAUUUCUAGAAACUACUAGAAUAAGGUGUUAUUCUAGUACUUUCCAGGACUUUGUCACAUGAUUUCUCCGGUUCCUUAUAUAUUUUGUUCUUUUCAAAAUUUUAAGACGAAUUUCGUUUAAAACACGGUAAUGCCGAGUAAUUCGAUAAAAAACUAUGUAGUAAUGUCAAAUAACAACAAAUAUAAUAAUUCAUGAUAACAUCAGUUACUCGUUUCUAUUCCAGACAAUAUAAAUGCAUAAUACUAUACUUGUCUCUCCGUGUAAUUUUUCGAAAAAUAUUCGUCUCGCCACUUAUAACAAGGCUCGCGAGCCACCACUGGUGGACGUCAUAAAGAGCAUAAUAAUAUAACGGUAGUUGAGUAUACACGUAUCUGCUUUCAAUCGAAUUUAUUGCGACACAUUUCUCGAUCAUCGUUGUUUUGUCCGACGCUGUUAAAACGAGAAAUCACUGUACAUAACAUUACCCAUACACACCGCAGACUCGCAAACAUAUCAAUUCGAUUUUUUUAUUUAUUUUAACGCUGGUUUUUAUGUUUAUAUAUAAAUAUAUCAAAUCGAUGCGCAUACAAGGUGUAACAAAUACCGCAUGCACCGCAGUAUAAUGCAAUGUAUAGCUGGUAUAUAUUAUAAUAUAUACCAGGUACAUCGCGGUUCGCAUACUGAUAAUAUUACGAGUACAUCACAUUUUUUUUUUUUUUUUUAAUAUAUACUUUCGUGAAAAUGACGUGCGGUAUAAAGAAAAAAAAACGGUCGUUAUUGCAGCGAUGAAUACCUGAGGAGCACAUACACGCAUACCGCGUAUAAACUAUAUAUUGUUUACGCGAUGUCGUAUUCGAAAAGUAUAAUAAUAUGAUAAUUCUAAAAACGGGCGAUGUAAACGGACGAGGCCGACGACGACGAUGGAGAACCGCAGGAGGAGAAGGACGAGCAUUUGGACGUGCCGGACGUAUUACAAGUGACGAUAAAACCGAAAAAAAAAACCACCGCACACUUAUGUACGUGGUAUAAUGUGUGUGGAAAACAAAAAACAAAAAAAUACCUUAACUCUCGUACUCAUACAAUGCGCACGGAAUGAUGUUCCGGUCUUAAAAUAUUGUGUCUUGUCGUCGUCGUCGUACGUACACGUCGAAAGACAUAAUAAUAUAAAACAACACGGACGCGCGUGCGCGAUAGCUUCUCGCCGUACAGAAACGGGCGCGAGAUUUAUACGAUGAGUUGUCGGGCGACAUAUGCAGCUGCAGCAUCGGAACUAUCGGAGAAACGGAAUAAUAAUAAUAAUAAUAAUCACAGUAUCAAUCUUCUCGCGCAAACGAAAUCGUCGCGAGUCGCUGUUGUUCCGACGACGACGCAUUGUUUUCGUUUUUUUUUUUUUUUUCCGCCGUCGUGCUUUGCGUAUUUAUCGGAAUAUUAUGAAAAUUCAAACUCUCGCCGACCCCCGUCUACGCGCCGCAGCGUCCGCCAACGCGCCACACGCACGAGUACAAUAAUUAUUAUCGUCGGUUUCGAAAAGUCAACAACGGUCGUGUCGCUCCGCGCGAUUUCCUCUUCGCCGUCUCCAUCAUACCCACAGCUAACGUAUAUCGCUAUCGUAACAUUUAUUUCAUAUAUAAUUUUACCGUUCCCAUUUCGCAGUGUACGCUAGACAAGCACUGAUUAUGGGAAGGGGAACGGUCCGGGGAGGAUCGUCCCCCCCCCCCCCCCCCCCCCCUCACCCCGUACGUCCGUCCGCAAGACUUCAGGAGUCUCGGUUUUCGACACAACGCGCUAUGCACGUUCUUUAUCUAUAUAUGUACGUUUAACCAUUGACUCUGUAUUCGUAUUUUCGUGGAUAAACUUUGUCGAUAUUUUUCUUGUCUUUGAUAUCUUUUCGUCCAAGACCUUUAUAGUGGAAUAUAAUAUUAGACGUCUGUUGUGUUUAUUCCUAAACGCGUCAACGAUUUUUCUCUAUUAUUCAUUUUGAGAGCGAUCAUUAAAAUGCAUAGUCCUAUAGGGCCUCAAAAAUGUCUUCAUCCGGGUACGUAUACAGGCCACAGGGUGAUUUUCUCACCGCGAACCGGCCGGUCGACGCGACGUUAUCCGCGUCUAGGGAAAUUUCUAUUAGUUAAUGAAUUUGAUUUUAGGUAUUUUUUCCCGACACAGGUGUACACAGGUGUACUUUCGCCUAUGGGAACCGCGGUUUUCGUGCAAAAAUUCGUAAUUUUAUCUCGUGACUCAAGUAGCUAGCAAGUAGAUAGCUGGUCACGUGAAUAGAUAACUAUACGGACGUCGUGGAAACUCGACGUAUAGGAAUUUCGAAUUUUGAACUGCGCAUUCGUAUAUUACACACCGAUGUAAACAUUGGAAUUUCACGGUAAGAAAACUCGGCUAGUGAUAUUUAUCACGGGAUUUCUGUGCUACAUACAGUCAUACACGACCGAUAAAAUCACGGCCAGUGACGGCCGUGACACCCGCGUAAUACAAAGUUGCCGUCAUAUCUUUCUGUGUUCGCAGCCAUAUGGCUAUUCUUACGUCGACCGUCGAUUUUCGACCAGUAGAAACCGACCGCGAUAAAAUGAGUUUUGAACGCGCAUUCAAAACGAAAACCGAAUAUAUUAUUCUAUCCUCCUGUACUGUACAGCGUUCUGCGUUCAUAUAACGGAACUAUACAGAAAAAAAAAAUGUAAAAAAAUCAAAUGCCUAUAACCGCAAUUAUAAAACGUUUUAACAAUCGCCCUGUAUUCUUACUGGUACAUUUUAAUAUUAUAUUAUCAUUAUACAUUAUACUAUUGCCGAAAUUUGGUUUUUUUUUUCCGUUCUUAUCCCGUCGCGCAUUGUUUCGAUCGCCCGACGACUAUAUUUACGAUGCCGUUUUCGUACCGUGUAACAUAAUAUAAUAUAGAGCCGCUAUACUAUUUGAAUAAUAUUCCAUUAGAUUAUAUUACCGUGUGUGUGUGCGCGCGCGUGUGCGUGUAUCUUAUACAUUAUCGCUAUUGUAAAAUCAAAUUUAUCGUCAAAUCGUGCGGCUAAUUGAAAUUUCCAAACUCGCAACAAUAAUAUUGUAUUACCAUAUAACCGUAAAAAAAAAAAAAAAAAAAAACUAUUGAGAGAUGAUAGCGAGUCCGGUGAGAGGUAUAUGAAGUCCAUUAUACCUAUACUAUAAAACGGUCAAUAUCGUAUUGAUUAACCCGGUGAAAUAUUUGUUCGUGCGUUAUCACAAACGCGGGUUUUAAUUAGUGUCGGGCACAAUAGUUACAAUUGCACUGUUCGAUAGUUGAUCGCAUUUGGACUAUCCGAAUGGAUGAUAAUAGUCAACAGUAUAAAAUAGUCUAUUCGACAGUUUCUAUAAUACAAUAAAUAUUUAUUCGGUGACGGGAAGAACUAUUCGAAUGAAAUAUUCGUUAGUUCAUCCAAACCAUCAAUACUGUUCGAACGUUUUAUAAAGAAACAGUUUUUGUUCGAUUUCAAACAUUUUUCAUAUUAUCAAUUAUUUUUGUGUCAGUGUGUUUUUAUGUUCAAGAAAGUUUUUUUUUUUUUUUUUCAAAUAUUGAUGCACUGUUGGACAAUUGCAGUAGAGUAAGAUUUUGCGUACUCUGUGUUUGCAAUCCUUUACCAUUUUAAUUCCACCGAAAUAAAAAGAUAAAGGAUUUAAUUAUGUAGUAAACUUGGUAACGAAAUAUUAUAUUUCCUAAGAAAAUUGAGUACUGGCGUGGGGAAGUGGGCUGUGAGAAGUCCGAAAUCGAACUAGAAAUGUUGGUUUUUCUGUUCGCGGAGCUUUUUUUCGAGGAACGGGAUAGUGGACACGCAGCGGAUGUUCACAAAAAAAGAAUAACCCGGUUUAUGCUGCAUAUAAUUACCGUGUAUUGUCUCGCUUUAGAUUUACUCAUAAUUUAGAGUCUAUAGUCGUUAAAUUUAAAUAUUUGUGCGAUUGUAUGUUAUAUGUUACCCGGACUGUAAUUUGUGAAAAUAUAAUGUUUUUCGGUACGGCGAUGACGUGAACAUCGUGUACGGUCUUCUAUAGUUAUAUUUUAUUCACGUUUACCCGUGCCAUUACGAUAAAUUUAUUUUAUAAUAUGGAAUAUUGUAUCGGCGUAUAAACGCGAUUUACCGAACGGAUAAUUUUAUGCAAAAAUAUGCAAAUUACGAUUGACCGGUGCCUAUAAUAUAAUAAUAUACGUACCGUGUGGGCGACUUGCAGACCCUCUGCGUGCGGUGAUCCGUGAGGUCGCGUGAAAUUAAUAAUUUGCAUGUAAUGGGAUUUUAGUCAUUUUUGCGAUAAUUACUACUGGAGGGCUACCUAUAUGCAUACACAUAACGUAUAUAUCGACCCGAAAAUGUUCAUCCGUUCGAAAACGCACACGAUCUGAUACACGAAUAAUUAUUGUACGUGUAAUAUUCGAUAUUAAAUUCUACGUGUGAACCGUUUUCAACCGCGUCAUAUUGUAUUGAUAUGAUUUGUAUUUUAUUUUUAUUUUAUUUUUUUUUUUUUUUGACACGCAGACGAUUUCCGAAGCGUUUUUUCGCCAUAGGUAUAUAUUGAAAUUGUCUCGAGGGAAAAGAAACCGAUUUAAUAAACUCAUUAAUAAUAAAAAAAAACAAAAUUAUUCAUUAAACUCAUUAAAUAUAAUUACGUUAUUUUUUCGACUUCACACUACUUUUUUCGACCGAAAUCGCGCGUUUAUUGCGGGUUAAGAUAAAAUCUCCGUAGCCGAUGGUGUUGCUUAUAAUAUAUAGGAGUCCGGCAAAUAUUUCACUUAAGUAUACUAUAUUCAUUCUCUUCGACCGUGCGUGAACUAAACAGAGUGCACCCUGUAUAUAACCUAUUAUACUCGUUCGAAUGAGCGGGCGUAUUCUCUCCUAUCGAUUUUUCUUUUGCUCUCGUCAAACGUGAUGUACUUAAAUGUUUAUCGGUUGCUCCAAGCAGUAUACAUCAUCAAUACGUUUAAUAUAAACCUUUUAAUAUGUUUCACCGCUCGGUAGUGCGAAUAACUAACCUAACCAAUUAACUUACUUUCAUGAGUCUAUAUGGGUAUUUAAAAACAUCUAAACAUAAAAACGGUUGGAGAAGGAAUUGAAACUUGUAUCCGCCAAAAUGCACAUACUUGAUACUUACACCAUGCAAUAUACUAAAAAAAUAUCAUUAAAAAAAAAAAAAAAACGGAAAUGAUAGAAAGGUUGAAAAAUCUCUAAAUUAUCAAGUACAAUUGCGUUAUUGCACAAAGUAAUUCUUUUUUUUUUUAUACAAUUUAUUUUUGUGGAUUUUAAGUUCAAUAAAUCUCGAGACCUGUUUAUUAUAACCGCGGUUGUACAAACGCAAGGAGUAGUUUUAUAACGAAAAGUCGUUUACUUUGUAGUCGACCGUUAAAAUCUGUAAACGUUUUUCGCGGCAAAGUUGUUUAAACACAAUGGUGGUCCGCAGUGUAUUUACAGGUCAAGUGUACUUGACAUAUUACACCUAAUCGCAGUAGACAAUUCAGCAGAUUACCGUGUCUCGUCCGAAUAUAUGAUAAGGUCAACUGUGAAAUAAUAAUUUUUUUUUUUUCUCUCUGCGUAUAUUAACCCCGAAACCGCGUAGUUUAUUCGUUUGGAAACGUCUGCAGCAAACUUGAACGAUUAGAUCCGGUGUAUAAUAUAGGUACCCGCUUAUCGUUAUUAUAAACCGUAAAAUAAAUAAUAUUUUAAGUCGCGUUCUGUAUUAUACAUUAUUAUCUAUAGUGUAAAUAUUUAAAAAAAAAAAAAAAAAACCAAAAACGUGUUUGCUGCGCAGAAACGUGCGGGAACAACUCGUUCUUAGCGAAAAUUCGUAUUGAACGAUAUAACAUAUUAAUUACUAUUAUAGUUUAACACCAUUAAAAUAUAAUAUAUUAUCGCGGCGAAAUAAAAUUAAUAAUAUGUAAAUGGCGUGCAUAAAAUGUUUUCGAAAAAAAAAAAAACCCCCGUUAUUUUGUUGACGACUUUUACGUGGUCAUAAUAUGGACUGCACGUACAAUUGCUAAUAUAUUAUAGGGGUACCAAUUAUAAUAUUCUAAUAUUACGAUUAUGAUUAUUACCUAUUGUGAGAAGCGUUAUUGUGACUAUAAUUCGAAUACUUAGGUCCGCCGUCGUCCGCGUCGGUAUUAUACAGAAUGAUUCUCGUCUGUAGAAUAGUCUUUGUUUAUCACGAUAUUCCAGCGAUAAUAUGCGGACAUAAUGUUAAAAAAUGAAAUGACGAUUCUCGGUAGGUCUUGGUCACUGGAUAUUACCCAGAUUGCAACGGCCAAACAGAACAGAACAAAAACACACGACGUCGCCGGAUAACCUCCUUUACACAUUCCGAAUAGCAAUUGCGUGUAUGGUGGCCUAUCCAUUCUUCAUUGUCUACGGAGAACAUUAUCAAAUUUACUCUCCGAUUUUUCGUAUACAGACUAGCUGUUCCGCUCGGCGUUGCCCGUGAAAUAUUAAAAAAAUUAUCAUGAUGCUAUGGAUUCAGCGAUAUGAUGCUAAAUGCUCAUGAACAAUGAACUAAGUAACCGAUUUCUAUGGUAACUACUGAUCGUUGUGCGUAUCCCCGCCACCACUAUUAUGGUCCUUCCACGGUUUACCUGAUUAUUUAAUUUUUUUAUUUGAACUUAUUUUUUCACUUCAUCUGUAUCACUGAGGUAACCCAUAAAUCAACAAAAUCAAUUGUAUUUCCGUACUGAAAAUACCGAUAACUCUGUAUUAAACCACAUGUAGGGCCUCCACAGGGGGAUAGGAUGAAAGUAGCCGGAUAUAUAUUAUUCCUGGUCAAGAACUGCAUAUAUACAAUGUUUCAACUCAAUCAGUUCAGUUAAUUUGACGAGAACAACACGUAUAUCUUUACAAUGUCCAAACGAACUUUUGCAUUUAUAAUAUAUUAUAAUAUAUUUAUUAUAUGGAACGGGGCUUGUUGCACUUAAUAUCCACAACAAACCACUUAACAACGUAAAAAAAAAAACACUUACAAAUAUUUAAAAAACCAAAAAUGGUAAAAGGGGUUUAAACUCCUUCCCUGUUUAUACUCAGAGUAAGUUCUUUAAACACAAUUUUCUAACCCUGAAAAAACCAUUAACAUCACUAAGUAAUCUGUAUUAAAUAAAAUUGCACACAUAAAAAAAAGAAUACUUUAUAUUAAUAAUUUGCAGUGUAGAUUUGGAAAAUGUUAUUUGAUAAAAAUUAUAAUCGUCAGAGGGGGGAAGGGACUUUUAAACCCAUUUUUGCUUUUUUCCGGGUGUUUUUGUUCGUUUUCGACCAUUUUUUGUGGGUAUUAAGUACGACAUGUCCCGAGACCUAACUAUUAUAGUAGGAUGGUACAGGAAAAAAAAAACCAACAACGUUCACUCUUAAUAUUUUAUACACGCUUAUCGUGGAUAUAUCGGCGCGGAGAAUGGUUUCCGAAUAAACGAGAAACAAACAUAAUAUACGAUAUAACAGUGCCGACGACGGUAUAAUAUUAUAAUACAGGAACGCACGGCCGGUGAAAACGAUUUCCACGUUAUUAGUACCUACGUAAUAGUACACUGUACAGUCGCAGUGUCCGACUGAGUAUACAAUAAUAUAAUAUACCGACUAAAUAUACAGUGGCGAGUUCGGUACGUUGCGUAAAUGUUAUACAUAUACGUUAUCAUUAUUGUUAUUAAAGGUUUUUUUUUUUUUUUUUUUGAACAUAUAAUUGCGGUCGAGACGGAAAGACGCGUCGCGUAGACCGUUUUUUCGAAAAUUUAAUUGCUCUCCCCUCGAAAACGGCCGGCGAUCUCGUUUUCCCGAUACAUAAUACGGAUAGACUUAUUUAUAAUGGGUACGUAUUACGCCCGUGCAUUAUAUCGACGUAAUUGCCCGGUAAAUAUACCCGUGUGUGUACAGUCACUAUGCCGUGCAGCUACCGUAGUCGUAGUCGAUUUUACGAUUACACAAAUGAUGCGUAAAGAAACGUGAUUAUGACCGGCCCGCUUGAAAACUAUACGACUCGGAUAUUCGUCGUGUAUGCACGCGUUCGCAGAGUAUCAUGUUAAAGACUUGUCGAUGCCGAAAAUGAUUGUCCACGCGGUAAACCGUCAAACCCCGGAAAGUAAUCUCGUAGAGCUUUGACCGAAAAAACGAAAACUUUUUCGACAGUUUAGGAAACAAACAGCUUUGAAAUAUAACUGCAAUGCCGUUAUUUUUCGACGCCCUUUUUUCGGGGGGCUUGACACGUCAACCCACUUUUGGUGUUUGAACGAAAACUUAAAUUGAAAAUUGCACAAACUGCUGGAAUAUUAGUUUAAAUAAAUUUUGGCGUUGGCAAUUUUGAUUUCCGUCAAACCAUUGACGAGAUACGCUCCGCUUUAAGUUUGGGUAAAGAGAGAGUAUAGUGAAGAAUCAUUUGUCUGGCGUCACGGCGGCGGAGUUUCAAUAAUGCUUCACUAUUCUCCCCCUAUCCAAACUCAAAUGAGUAUUAUCUCGUCGGCGGGUUGACGGGAAUCAAAAAAUUUCAACACCAAGAUGUAUUUUAUCGAAAUUACGUAGUCGUUUCGCUAGGGAUUACAAAAAUAAUGAUAAUGCAAUAAUUUAGAGCCACUUUUUUUUUAACCGUUAAAAUAUAAUAUUUUUGUUUAAGUUGAAACGUUCCGAGAUAAUAUGAGUGAACCCACUUGAACGGAUCGCCCGCGUCCACGUUCCGGAUAUUAUCUAGGAAACGCAUAAACCGUAUUAUUCCGGAUCGUAUACUCCCGAAAUCCAAAUUUCAAGUGACACUAGCACCGUCAAAAAGGAUACAAUUUAAAAGUCGGGACUAUAUUUUGACGGUCGUCCGUGACAAUGCAGUUUAAAUAUUUUGAAAAUCAGGUUGUAUACCGUCCGCAUCAAUACGGUUAUUUGCGUGUUUAUUUUUUCCGGGUUUCUUUAUACGGUCCGGGUCUGUAUACGGUUUGUGUUAAUUUUUUUUCCGGGAGAUUACGGUCCGGGACCACACGAUGUCUAUUGUUGCUUUCCGGAUUUCCACGGUCCACGAGAUUACUUUCCGGGUUUAUAUUAUAUAAAUCAUUUUUUUUUUUUUUUUUAAGUAUUUCACGGUUAAAUCUAUACUGCGGAGCGUAAACAACGACCCUUGCGUAUUAUGUACACGAAAAACCGUAACAUGCCUGUCCCGCGGCUGUAGAAACGUCGCGCGACUUCACGUACCCGACUCGCGAGACUGUAUACGUGUUUGUAACACCGUAUUGAAUUUCACGCGCGGCGUUUUUACCCGCGUGUGGCCAAAGAGCCGGUGUCCGUUUUUAGCAUUCGCCGUGUAUUAUAUAUCAUAAUGUAUUCAUGAGAUACAUUUUUGUAAUGUCGUAAUACAUUAUUUUUAUACGUGCGUGCGUAUAUGUAAUCUGAUUAACGCCCGGCACGGUUCAUGUUAUAAUUAUAAUCCGGCGGGACGGUUUCCCCGGCGCGCAAUGACCAUGUCGUACCUCCCCGUGCGUCCCGGUCGCGCACUUGCGUUUCGUACCGAUUUUCGGCCGGCGGCGGUAAUAACGACGCGGACGAACGCAAGUCCCCUGCAGAUACCAUGCGCGCCUGCAGGAUAACGAAUCCCGCCCGGGACGAAACGGGUAAAAGGUUUUAUUCUAGAAAUAUUUCACGUCGAUAUGGUUUAGAAUGGUAUGCAAUCAUGCGCGAUAAAAGUAAAUGUACGGCAUUAGAGACAAUCAAAAUCGGUUAACGGUUACACACCCCCUCCAUCCCAGCUCACCCCUUUGCAUUUGUUUUCCUCGCGACCACUUCGGGUGAUUUAAUCUCGAAACAUGCCGGUCGAUUUUAGCUGACAUUUUUCGCAUCCGACUUCCGAGUCGAUUCGAGAGAAGAAGAUUUGUUUAACAUCGUUAUGAUAAUAUUAUGUUCUCUACGUCCCGGUCCGUUGAAAAUCCCCGGGCACGCCCGUCGGACGACGUUGUGUCGAAAGCAUCAUAGACAAUAAAUAAAACGGAUAAACCACUCCUGUGACGAUUGCAAGUGAGGUGGAACGGCGGAAAACUGAGACAAUUUAUCAUCCGACGCCGUAUAGAAAAAAAAAAAAAAAGCCUCGCUUUAUGAAUCGAUUUCGGAAUAACUAUACCCGUGCCUCUCAGAACACUAAUAACUAGAGAAAAGAUGUUGACGGGUCUUGCAUUUUUUCCCCCUUGAUCCUAUAAAAUAAUAUCUAAGCUAAAAAUGAAUUUCAUGCUCUCUUGAUUCAAAGUAUACUAAUUUUAUUUUGCAUUUUUAGCAUUUGUUUGUUUUUUAACGUCAUUUUUUAUAUUUUUCCAUAUUAUUGUAUAUUUAUUUAUAUUUAUGUUCAAUGCGAGGAAUUCCACUUAAAAUUUAGAUUUUGUGUAUUCAAAAAAAAUAAUUUUAUAUUAAUAACAAUUUAUUAUUAUUUUGGGGUUUUCGUUGUGAUUAAAUUAGUUUAGUAAUUUUUUUGUUCGGGGCAUUUUUGUAUGUAUUUUUUAGGUCAUCAACAUCUCUACAUUUUAUCUGUACUUAUUAGAUAGGUGGAUAAGCUAUCCGUAUCGUUAUUAUCUAUACGGUCGAAAGUUAUUCAUUCAAAUAUUUUUCGACGUCUGAGAAAACCGCGCGCUUUACCGUUUUCGAACCUCCACGGCCGAUAUACUCUCCCCCUCGUAUCCGUAUAACAUUAUAUUUAUAUCAUAGUGAUUUAUAAUACGUCGUCAGACAUUGGACCACCGGAGUGUACAGCCGAGAUAUAAUAAUAUUAUGCUCUCGCGUAAAUAAUGCAAAUUGAAUGGUCCACCGAAAGACCGAUAUACUUGCGGCAUACAUAAAAAAAAAAGCCGUUGCAGUUAUAUACUGCAUUAUUAUGCGGUGUAAAUUGCGUGUUUAUUUUUUUUUCUUUUUGUCAUUUUUUCCAAGCACCGCGUAAGGUGAUUUGUUAUUCUUACGGUUACCCGGUGGAGUAAAAAAUAGCUGCCGGUAAGUAACUCUGUUUUUAAGUGCGAGGAAAAUGAUAAAUACGCGAUUUGAAAAAAAAAAAAUUGUUGUCACGACGAUGACAAUAAUAUUACACCGAGAUAAAUUCCAUUUCAACGGCCGCGCCAGUAACGUAGUCGAUUUUAAUGCAACCGGUACCGCAUUACGAUGAUUUUAUACCUGGGCGUAUUUUUUCGUCGCCGGCCACGUUUUUUUUAAUAUGUAAAAUUUAAAAAAAAACUCUACGACACCGCCACCAAUCGUUAUCGCGGUAUCGUAAAAGUUCAAGCGUGUAUAAAAUAAUUAUGUUUUUUUUUUUUUUUUAUAAAUUUCACGUUAUUUACACGCUACGCUUUGUCGAUUUUUCCAUGUUCAUAUUAUAUCCGUUUGUAACAGAUUCAUGUUUUGCGUACCGCACUAUAUUAAAAUACUUUAGGCGUUUACAACGCGGUCGAAAUAUCGUAAGUACAAAACGUACGCGAAACGGAGAAAAAUCCGUAACGAAAAGUCUUACAUGAAAUUUUUCGCGGUUUUUCACACCUUCUUUUCGGGAUCGAUUUUUGAUAAUUCAAACGAGCGCCUGUAGUUUUUUUUUAUACGCGUAAAGAUGUAUUUUCAAAAGGAUUUUACGGUGGCGGUCGAAUAAUAUAUUUCAGUUUCGCACUGGUAUCCGUUAAAAAACGAAUUUUUAAAAAAACAAACGGAUUUGUUCGUCGCACUACGGGUGGGCCCAUUUUUUUUAGGUGCAAAAUUCGGAAAUGUAAUAUAUAUAUAUAUGUACUCUGUAACGAUUGACCACAACGAUUCUGAGAGGAGUUCGGUUAGACGUGUUUUGAAAGACCGUUACGAUUUUAAAAUGAUACAUUUCGUAAAUUUUCCCAAUUCGUUACCCCCUGGAAUACUCCUGGAAAAAUCAAAAAAUGACUUCCUUAAAGUACCACUCCGCGAAAAUUUCCUCUCGGAAAAGACGCUACAUUUGAAAAUUGAAGUAAAAUUAUUGAUAGAUAAGUUGUUCACGGAAAUAAAAAAAAUAUAUGUAUAAACAUUGUAAAACCAAUACAUUCCUCAUCGUUCAGUUUAGAAUCUAAAUAUAUCUUUGCGUGACUUUUGUAAAAGAAAAACACGCAGGUUUUCGUUUUGGAUUCUAAAAGUCGACCACGAAACCGCAAAAAGACGGCUGAAAAAGAUUUAAACCCACAGGUGAUUUUAAAUCGUUUAAUAUUAAACUGCAGUUUAAUAAAACGUUAUUCGUUAUACAUUUUUCACUAAUUCGCACGUUUAUAACUAUUGAUUGAUAAAACCGCCGUAACGUGAAAUUCCGAUCGUCCUGUAUACAUAAUAUUAAUAAAUUAAUAAUAAAAAAAAAAAAAAAAAAAAUAGUAAUAAUAAUAAUAAUAAAAACCCAGAGUGAAUAUAUUAUUAUACAUUAGGCAAGUAUAAUUAUUAUUAUCGAAGGUAAAAUAUAUUAUAUGCGAGUGCUGCCGAUUUGAAUACCGCGUCACAAUAAAUUUGCUUUUGUUGUGAUAAUAAUUAUAGAAAGAGAGAAAGAGAGACGAAAUUCCGAUCGUCCUGUAUACAUAAUAUUAAUAAAUUAAUAAUAAAAAAAAAAAAAAAAAAAAAAAAUUAAUAAAACCCGAAACGAAAUUCCGUAGGUAAUUAUAGCGUAUUAAAUCGCCAUUAUCCGAAUGUAAUAUUCAAUAUUUCAAACGCGUAUUUAAGUUUAAUUAUUAAAUAUUUAUUUUCACAUGCCGGCAGUGCCCGUACACAUUAUAAAUAUUAUCCGAGCGGGUAUUAUCCUUUCACAAAAAAUUACGUCCGUCCGGUCUCCUCGUGUGCGUGUGUGUGUGUGUGUGUGUGUGUGUGCGUGCGUGUGUGUGUGUGUAUAUAUAUAUAUAGGUAUAAUAUAUAUAUAUAUAUAUAUAUAGGUAUAAUAUUAUGUAUUUAAGUCCGUGUAAGACGGUGAAAAUGAUGUCGGCCAUAAAUUAGUUAAGUAUACGGUACGCGCGAUAUUAUUAUUGUAAAUAUUAUAUACGAACAAUUAAUUAUAAUUCGGUUUUGCGCGAUGCCCCCUUAAAUACAUUGUUAUUUAUACUUACUAUUAUCAUUAUUAUCAUUAUUAUCAUUAUUAUUAUUAUUAUUAUUAUUAUUAUUAUUAUUUUUCGUUCGUAGUUAUUUAUUUUAUGUUUACACGCCGCGCCGCGCGUUCUCCGAUGCCGGCCACCACGUGUUAUUAUCAUCAUAAAUUACUAUCGACGUACUGCCCCGAGCCCGUUGCCAUAGACCUACAAAGAAAUGGACCGAGGCAGAGCAUCGCAGAGCAUCGCAGAGAGAGCGAGAGAGAGAGAGAUAGAUAGAGAGAGAUUUAGUUUAAUAUACACGGAGUACGGAAUAUAUUACGGAGAGGCCGUACCGUAUACAGUGAGGAGCCAUGCGUAGUGAAACGAAGCAUUUAGAUGGAAAACGGUCAGAGUGUCCGACCGGAGAGUAUCGAUUUAUUGUAUUGUUAGUCAUCCCGAUCGCCGAACUGUUAUCAUGUUUUAAACGUUUUAAAACGUUAUCGUUUAUAACUUAUAACGUUAUGAAUAAUAAUUUGUGUUGCACGGGUGUCAAACGGUACCGACCAUGUGUGAAAAAUAAUUGUAUUUUUCUCAAAACGGUCACUCUAAGCGUUUCCCGUCUAAAUGCUUCACUUGCGCUGUCGUGGUCGAACGAAUAGUCGCACGCUCGGGCAUUAUAAUAUAAUAUAUUAUAGGCGUAUUAAUCGCGCAUAAUAUUAUUUAAAUCGGCCGAUUCGAUCGGUCGCGAUGCCUAUAAUAAUGUGCCGAGGAAAAAAAAAAAAAAAAAAAAAAACCCGUAACUCGAUUUUUUUUUUUUUUUUUUUUCUUAAUUUUCGUCCGUCUACUUAGAUCGUGGGAAAUAGGACCUCGCGUACAUCCCGUUAGCGAACAGCCGCGUAACAUUAUUCAUGUCUUGCCCAGCAUGUAAUACUAUCACGCCGACGACCGUUUUAACUUUUUUCGGAAAUAUCAUAAUCACGUGCAAGCAGAUUUAAUCCAGUAACCCGACGACAUUUUAAUCGGAUUUUCUCGCCCGAGUCGGAUUCGGCUCGAACUACUACUAUACAUCACCUAUAAUAGGCGUGUAAUAUAUUACAGUCGAACUACUGUUGGAUUUUCUUUUACGCGUCCUCGGGGCUUCGCGUCGAGUUUUACUUGCGGGUACAAUCGGCCUCAGUGUUAUUAUUUAUGCGCUCGUGUGCGUGUUUUCUUCUUUUUACGGUGACACGAUUUUCGGUACUUAUCCGCAGAAACCGGACGAGAGGUAUAUAGGGAGGGACGUCGUCGUCGUCGUCGUGGGAAACUGCGAUAUUUAUAUAAUUACACACGCGCGAUACUCAAAAUCAGCCGAGUUUGUUCUAUAUUAUAAUAUUGCGUACUUAUGUAUUAUCGACCAACCCGAAUACAUAAUAUUAUACAUUUGGGUAUCGAGCGACAUUUUGUGUUUUUUUUUAAGAUAUAUUAGUUGUGAAUGCCUAUACUCUGUUAAUAUAUAUGCCUGUAAAUCGACGUGUAUCGAUAUCGUAUUACAAAUUAUGGUUUUACAAUGAAUGUUUAUUUUUAUUUGUAGGCUACUUGAAAUGUUACUCCGAUUUUCAAGUAUAGCGUAUAGUACCUUUUCUGAAAAGAAAUUUUAUCCGAGUGAUACUUUAGGGAGGUCAUUAUAAUAUACGAUUUACUUUUCGAUAUUAAUAAAAAAAAAAAAUAUAUAUAUUCCUUAAUUCGUAUUUAUUAUAUGGUGAUUUAACCGUUUAUAGAAAUCGUUAGAAAUUCUCAAAAUUGAAUUCGCUUGUAUUGUAUACUAUACAAAAUCGACUUGAUCGUUACCUCUUUGCGACCAAAGAUGUAUUACACGAUGUGUAAUUUGUGUGCCAUAACAGCGUGGAUUCGACGUUCAUAUAUAGGUAUGUAAAAAAAAAAAAAAACACGGACUAAUAGCUACAGUAUCAUUGAGGCCCUAGGGCAAUUUUCAUAUUUAGUGUCUAAACUUGAUAUUCAAUUAAAAUUUGUGGUAGUUCUGGCACCUUAGAACAGUUAUCCUCUUUACACUCCCUCCCCCCCUUAUCACGACCAUUAAUAGUAAUGUGACAUUACUUAUAUAUUUUAGUCGAUCAGUCGCUCAUAGAUCGUAUUUACGAUCUACAAUUACACCAAUAAAAACACUACAAUGUUAUUAUGGUAACGUUAACAGUAAAUAGAAGAAAAAAACGAAACGCAAAAACAAAAUAAGAAACAGAACCGUCAGAGCCGAUGGACCAAAAAAAAGUAGGUAUCCGGGAAAAAAAAAUAAAUUGUACGUGCUUCUCCCACUCCCCGUGAAUAACAUAGGUACACGACGUAUUAAGUCAUAUUCGAUAUCGUUGUCUUCUUCUUCAUAGGAUUAUCGGUCCUUAAUAGGACUGUCCAACAGUCACGUACACCCAAUCCUCAAAUUCCCCCUGCCGUUAUCUAUAUGCUAUUGUUAAUGAUAAAUCAAAGCUUUUCAUUGGGAAAAAAAAACGAGAAAUAUUUUUUGUUUUCAUUUCGGAUUACACAUUUUCGCUCGCCUUUCGGAAAAUGGUUGUCUGACUGAUUUUCGCUCAAGGCAGCACAUUAGUUAUAAUGGGUCUCUAUGAUUAUUACUUAUAACACUCAUAUAACCGGCAAUUAUAUUGUAUACUAGUCGAGUAUAAUUAUGACAAAUAAUCGGAGUGUAGUAUCAUACAAUAUAGGGCCGUUAAGAUUUCUAUUCGGAGUGCAGUCUUAUCGGGAUUCAUACUCGGGCGCCUCCUUCGAGGCCUCGUAGGUGCGACGGAUUUUGCUGCCGGUGCACGCGAUUUUCGGCGUUUAGUUUUAUUGUAGUAAUUACUUUUUUUUCUUUUACGACCUUACUAACGGGAGACCGAAGCCUAAAGGGAUCGAAUCCUAUCCGGUAUAAACAUUACAUAACUGUACUCUUUAGGUAAAAUAGACGAUCGAGGUCGAUCCGCGAUAUUUUCGAGUAGAAUUUCAAAUGCGAUUUCAUUCUGUAUAAUAUAAUAUGGUGCAAGGGUGGCAAAUUAUUUUGACGCUGCUGUGCCAAAAAUAAUCUUUUUUUUUUCCGAGUGCGUCAUAAAUAAAAAAAAUGUGUGAAAUUGCGAUGUUAUUUGUGCUUUCAAAAUGUUUUCGCCCGCCAUUUCGGGCACGCGUUUCAUGAAUUUGCCAUCCCUGAUAGAAUAGGUUGUAUUCCACAAUAUUACAAUAUCAGUAAUAAUUAUCGGUUGUUAUCGCACUCUGGAAUCGCCAUUGACCUCGCCAUUGACAAGUCGUUAAGCUCGCCGCGUGACGCUCAGAACGCGUUUCUGUACAGGGUAAUUUUCGUUUUUUUUUUUUUUCUAAUUAUAUAUAUAUAUAUAAAAUAUACCAUACACAUAUACUCAUCAAGUUAUAGCGAUUAUUUUUUACCACGAAGAAUUCGAGUAAAUUCGACGUUGUAUUCAGUAUUUUUUUAAGUUUAAUUUUUAAAUAUUUUGAUCAAGAUAAGAGUGAGCUAUCUAGAUAAAAAGUUCAAAAAAUAACAAAAUUGAAUUUUGUUUAAUACUUUUCAUUCAAAGCCGUGCAUAAGGUAAUACAAGUAUUAAACGUCUACUUACCAGGUUUCAUGUAACUUAACAGUUAAUUUAUAGACCAUAUUGUAUUAUAUUAUACCUAUUAUAAUAUCCUCAAUAUAAUAUAUAUCAAUAACGAUGUAAAAACGUUCAUCCAGACGGUUCAAUUAUUUAUCUCGGACAAUUUAUUUACCGUUUAUCUACAUGGAUAAAAUAAAAUAUACAAAUUAUAUCCAGAUAAAACAUGACGUGGCGCUGGCUUUAUUCGAAAUCGUAUCUGUAUUCUGUACAAUUUAAACCGUCGAUUUUAAUGAGAGAAAACAAACCCGAACCCGAAAUUCAAUUUACUCGAAACCCUGGCGCAACCUGUAGUGUUGAUGACAAAACAAUCACUCUGUGUCGCAUGCCUACGUAUUUUUCUUUUUUUAUCAUAUUGCUACUACGACGCGACAAUAUAGUGUUUUGAAUAAUAUUAUUCUUUCGCGUGUAAAUAAAAGGAUAAAACAACGUCGACAUAAUGUAUACCCGUGUACCUACACAAAAUAUAUCAUGUUUGUUUCCUACCACUUACACCACGCGCGGUUACCCGCACCGCGUUCCCUAACCCCUACGUGGAACGAAGAUGUAAUAAUAAUACUGACGUAGGCGUUGCGCCGAUGCACAAUAUUAUAGUGUUGCGAUUUACUUUUUUUUUUUUUUAAUAAUAAUAUUAAAAACAAUCAGAUAAUGGUGUGAUAAUAUUUGCACUGUCUUCUCCCGUCUCGGUUUUUUUCAUCUAUUAUUAUUAUUAUUAUUACUUUUUUCUUUUUCGCUACAUAGCGCCGAAACGAUGACAAUAUAUUUUCAUUACGACUACCAUGAGCCGAAACCGCAGGGCGGGCGCGCCUAAUGCACCACACGGGGCUCGCAGCUAUGUACAAUAUUCUAUCUGCGCGUAAUACCGUGUCUACCGGUGGCGCCGAGUCCGGUGGUCUUUUGGCGGUUCGAAACUUGGUUUGAACCGCACACCUGUCCCGACCGAACGCCCCAAACGCGACGGAAAAAUCAAAAAUAUGUUUCUUACAAUAUGGUUGUGCACAUAGUUUUAUGUCUGAUAUACGCCCGCCCGAGGCCAAUGCCUAUUUUCUAGGGGUGUCGCUGUUUUACUUUAUUGUAUUACAAUUCGUAUUUGCAUUCGAACGCGAUGCCCCGAAUCUUAGUAAAAAGCGUAUGUCCCGGGGCCAGGGCCCCGCCCACCCCCUAAAGAUGACCCUGUGUAAAGCCAUUUUAAUAAAUUUAAAUAUUAGCCAUUUUUCCCGGAAUCAAAACGUGCCGGAUUCAGCGUAUAUCUAACGUUAUCAGCUGCGCGUUGCUGCUAUCUCUGCACUAGACAAAACAAAGUUGGGUAUAUUUUAAUUUUGAGAUUUUUUUUUUUUGUUGUUGUUGUUUUUUUAUAUAUCUAAUAUAAUAUUUCGAAUUUUUUAUUACAUCUAUGUAAUUAAUAUUAUGUAAAUUACGGUUAGAGCCAAAAACCAUUCUCGUACAUACACGGUAGUCGAAUCGUCGCAAGCGAGGUGUUUUUUAUUAUUCCUAAUAUAUGUAAUAAUCGUUAGUUUUUAUGGCUUUUGCUACCGUAAAAAGUUUAUUAAAUGGUUUUAAAUUAUAAUGUAUUAUGGAAACAUUUAUUAUUAUUCAUUAUUUAAUAUUCAUUUUUCGUUCGAAAAUUUCACGGACAAAAAAUUAUCGGUCUUGGUAAUAACACGUGUUUUCCGUCGUGAUUUUUCACCGGAAUUUUAUUACGGAACUAACCCGUUGAAUGGAUAUUUUCUUAUUUUUAAGUGUGAAGCAAAAAAAAAAAAAAAAAAAUCUUAGAUAAACAAUUUAAAUUAAUUAUUAAGUUAAACCUUAUAUCAAUCAACCAACCUUUGAGGAAUUGUAUGUAUUCCAGAUCUAGAAAACUUUUAGUUUUUAGUUGUAACGCACGUGUUGUAUAAUAAAUAUUGAAUAGAAUUAUCAUUUUUUUUUUUUAAGAAUUAAAUAAUUGUUGUGUAUUAUCUAGAUAACUAACUUGACAAUUACCUCGUAUCCUGACAUUUUAAAGUGUAUCUAUACGAGAUAUCAGUGUUGUAACCAGGGGGGUAAGUGGGCUAUAUUCUUUCCCGUGGGCUUUGCUUAAGACACGACUUCACUAUGUAAUACACUGUUCUAUGGUUUGAGUGUUGACUACGUUUCUAGAAAUUUGUUCUACUCCCGAAAGAACAUUUUCCCCGAUAAACCGCGUGGAAACGAAUUAGGAAGGAGCACUAUUGUACGACAAAAAAUAAAAUCAAUUGGUUAGCAGUGGUUAAUAUAAGUAUACAAUAAAUCGUUAAUGGAAAUGAUAAUAUUAUUACUGUUUUUGUUCGAAGUUCUCCUGAGAAUAUGCAGCUGUUAGAAAAUAAUAAAUAUUAUAGCUACAAUAGUAGUUACGCCGAGACGCACAAUUAUAUUCUUGUUUCAGUAUUGAGUUUUGUUUUUUUUUCAUUUAAAUUUUCGCUUAGAGUACUGCAUAAAAAUUCAUAUUGAUGCAAACACUUUUCUAUAGGGUGUUCCAUUAAGCACGCCGGAUUUAAAUUGCCCGUUAUUUUUUGUUUUCUGUGUUGGCUAACCUGUUGUUUUUCUCAUGAUUAUCAUAUAUAAACUCUCCACAAUGAAACGCAAUAGAAUCUGACAAUACAAAUAAAUUCGGGUCGGGGGUCGAAACUAUCUCGCUUUUAUCUUCGCCCGCGUCUCGAACAAAAACCGCAUCAAACAGCCCGUAGCCCUUUAUAUAGAAAGCUCGUGUUAUGUUUGCGUUUCGCAAAUAAUUCAAUUAAACUGCAAAAACAGUUUAUGUCGUAUCGCGUUUAAUAUAAUGUAUGUAGAUUGUAGAGUUUACGUAAUAAUGUUACAGGUAUUUGUAGGUACAAUUAUUUAUUUAAUUUUUUUUUUUUUUUUUCCCCGUAACGGCAUAAUUAUAUAAAAUUAUGUUGUAAAAUUCGCGCGUGAUUAUCAUAUUUUUUAUUAAUUUUUACGUCCCAAGAGUGUGUAUAAUGGGUACACACGGUAGGGCGGGUACGAAUCGCACGGGCAAUAGCGGCUCCAUUUAAACAUUAUUAAUUCGCAGUGGCGGAACGCAUUUAGCGAUACGUAUAAGCACGCGGUCCGAACGGUCUACGGACGUUUCGCGCAAACCUGCUUAAUAAUCGAGAUUAAUUGUGACAAUAUUGUUGUAACAUUAUACUUUCAAAUUUUUUUACUAAUAUUUCGGUGGGGUUUACAAAAAUAUACUUACGAAAAAAACAGAUACGGACGUACUGCGCACGAUGUGUGGGAAAAUGUAAUGUAGUUUUAGGUUUGGGUUGGAGGAGAGUAGUGGAGUAUUAUAAAUGUGGCGGUAGGGCGCGCGACGUGUUAAUAUUGUGUAAUGCUGUCAUUUGAAAAUCAAAAGUAGUUCGUGUUUUACCCCUAAAAAUAAGUGUGAAAAAAAAUAACAUAAAUAUAAAAUUCUGAAGCGGCUUGUUUCUUAAGCGUUCUAGAAAACAAAUUCCGGAAAAAGAUAAUGAAUUAAUACUUUCCGAGAUAAUGAAUGUACCCGGUAAAAUAAUUACACACGAAUUAUAUAUUUUCUUAAAUAAUAUUUGUUUAAUAUUGUUCCUAUAUUUUCCCGUUCUUUCUAUGUUUUUCCACGUUUAUUAGGAAAACUACUGGGAUAAUCAAAACACUAUUUCUUUAAGGGUACCACCCCAAUAAGAUUUCAUUUCAGAAAAAGUGCCAUAAUCAAAAAUCGAAAUAAAAUUGCUGUUAUAAAAGUCGUGUCCAGAUAUAAAAAAAUAAAAAUAAAAAAUAUACAUCAUUGUAAAACCAAUACAUUCCUCUCUCUACUCAGAAUUAAAAGAAAAAAAUAUAUAUAUUCGUUUUGAACGCGUAAUAUGGUAUAAAACUAAUUUCUGCACAACCGAAAAGAGACGAGUGUACUAGUGUACUAUAUAUAGCGCGGUGGGGGGGGGAAAUUAUCGUAUUUUAUACCGGUCCACCUAAACGUCUUGUGUUACGACCAGUAUACACUGCACACAAAAUGUUUAAUUAUACAACCCGACGGGUAUAAUAUCUAAUUUUAUUUCGCGUUUCGAAUAUUAUCAUUAUUAUAGCAACAAGUUGGCGCACAUCAGCCGUCUUCGGAAUAUCGAUUCUGACGGGCGGCCAUGCCGGAAACGUUGCGGCGGUGCAUCGUCGCGCGGUUUAAUUUGAUUUUUUUUUUCCGAUUUUAUUCUUUUCUUUCUUAUCCACGUCGUAUUUAUUAUCGUCUCUCUAUCUCUCUCUCUCUCUCUCUCUCCCCGAAGACGUCAUAACGGGACGUAGUGGGCGGAAGAGAAGGUGUCGGACGGCGACGCGACAAGGUGUUUAUUUUUUUUUUUUUUAUUUUCAAAUAUGGCGAAUUUCGGAUUAUCCGGCACUCCGAGGUCGCCCGCUGGCAGGUUAUACCGUUGUGUACGCACUAUGAGCGAUCGACGGUUUCCGAUUGGUCAGGUGCCAUCGAUUCAAGGCGCAUGCGCCCGGGAUUUUCAUUGAUAUUUUAAACCGAUACAUUAUCGCGCGAAUCGCCAAUAUCGUCGGCCGUGUCUCUCGGCGGGUUCGUAUUACAAUAGUAAUUAGGAAUGAAAAGUUAGAGGAGGUAAAAUUAGAAAAAUAUGCAUGUAAAUGUAAAUAUGUAUACCAAAUGCACUAAAUAUGGAAAAAAAAAUACUAUAAUAAUUUUCAUUCUAAUAACUGUUGUAUUAAUUUAUUUGAAUACAAAUUUACAUUCUGUUAAUUAAUAAUGAUAAUAAUUAACGAAUACAAAUUAAAACUUCAUUGUUCAUUAUUGAAAUGUCCAUUAAUAAAUAUAUAUAUGUAUAAAAAAAAUGUUUUACUCACGUUUAAAAUUUCAUUUUGUUCGUAUACCUUGUAAAUUUGUUGAAUAAUUAGAAGACAUAAAGAAAAUGAGGAAUUUCCAUAAAUUUUCGUCCCUUAUAAGAAUAAGAAUAAAAAUAGUUAUAUUGUUAUCGGGUCCGUAAUUUAAGCAAUAUUUCACAAUCAUACCAUCAUAAUGAUAUCGAUGAGAUAACUAUACGAAAUCGUACGAUUGGAUGGUUUUUUAAAAUGUUAAGGUGGUUUAAGACGUCUAUGGUCAUAAUCGUCAUAUCUUAAAGACUAUGCUUUGUCGUUAAAACCAAUUUACGCCGUCUUGGGUUGUAAUCAAUCCAUAAUAAUUGAGUAUUUUUUUUUUCACUAUAAACAACCCUAACCCGAGUCCAUUGUCUAUUGAUUUUAUUAUUUAUGAAAGAAAAACGAAAGACUUAAUAAAUUACAGUUGGCCAUAGGGCUAAUUGUAAGAGCGUUUAGUAAAAAUGAGAAAGUGCAUGCGUUUUCGGUGCAAACAAAGGGGUGGUCUUAGCGAAAGUUUUCGUCUCAUCUGUAAACUAUAUACGCGUUCGACUCGGACACUUUAUCCUAGACACCGUUCGAAUUUCAGACGUGACAUUUGAAAUUGGCCAAUCAGAAACGACCACGCGGUGGCGUCUCGUAUUUUCAUAUCUCUCUCUCUCUCUCUAUCUCGCUCUAUCCUCGGCUCGUUCGGCCUUUUCCGAAAUAACACUAUACGCAUAUAUUAUUAUUUUAUAUACGAGCAGUGCACAUCGUUGUAUCAUAUAAUAUACUAUUUUUCAGCUCAUAAAUCGUACGGAAGGCUCGCGCAGUUUGUCGGCCCGUCGCGGCCGCCGGUCGGCGGACGCGGAUUAUGCAAAUGCGCGGCGCGCCGCCUCGUAAUUGAGUUAUUAAAAACCGAUUUGUUCGCGGCCGUUGGUCAAACACAAUGUCCCGCAAAGUAUUAUUAUAGUAUAAUAUUUUAUAAGUACGAUAUUCGCAUCAAAAUGAGGCGGGCGGUGGUACCACGUGGCCCGGUUAGGUACUCGGACUCGACCGUACCGGAGUAAUGCGCGUGUAGUGACCGGAGGUAAAAUUCGUGUCCGGACGAAAACACAUACACCGCCGCCGUGUCGUGUACGUAUUUUAUUAUUCGGUACACACCUCCAUACGUCAUAAUAUAGUUUAUGUUUAGUUUACACCGUAACCCCCGUCACAAAUAAUAAUAUAAUAGACUGGCGGUCCGCGCGAAAAGAAACGAAAGAAAAAUAUGUAUCGUCCGCAUCGCCGGGGUAACCCGUAAAUCAACAAAAAUAAUUAGAUAUUCGUACAAAGAACAGCGAUAACCUUAUAUCGGCCCGUUCUUUUUUUACGGGUUGAAAGUAGUCUAUAUGUCAUUUCCUGUCUUGAAUCACACCUAUGCAAAGUUUCGGCUCGACCCGUUCGACAGUUGUUGGCGUGAACGGAUAACAGACAUCCAUCCGUCGAGCAAACCCUCGCGUUCCACGAUAUUACACCUGUAGUAGGAUUGUUAAUCACAGUACUGCUGAACAUUUACGUGUAAAACAGUAAAUAUGCUAAAAUUUUAACUUUUAUCGACUUUAUUUUGUCGUUCGUUUCUUUACGUUUAGUUAAAUAAAUAGCGAGUUAAUUUCGAAUCGGGUCCACGCGUCAAGUUCAUUUAAAUUUCUCAGAAUUUUAAGUUAUAAUUCAAUGUAUUAUUAUUAUACCAUCGUGUAUUUAAUGUUCAUUUUUUUUCUUUUAUUUAUUCGUUGUUUGAGUGCUAAAUCGAUAAUAUACACUACUUAAGUAUGUAAUAAUCCCUUGUGUUAAACAUUGAUCGUCCUUAUUUUUCAAUAAUAAAUUAUAAACUCUAUAAUUCAAGUGUAAGUAUAUUUAAUAAGAUUCGCUAGGUAUGAAAACAAAAAUUGUUCAAAACAAAUAAACUAUGACAUUAACUUCAGUAAAUAAUCCAGUUCAGUUUUCCAAUUAAGUAAAUGUAUAAAAAAAAUAAUCUUUUAAUUCGUCAACUCGUUAACUUAUCACAAUUGACUUAACCAAGUUGAUAUUAUUGUCGAUAAUUCGCCCAGCAUUUUAAAUGUAUACAAGCAUUGGCUUUUAUCGCUUUACAGCCUUGUUUCGGGGACAAGCCAAUGCUCUAAAUUUACUGGAGUCGGUCAAAUGAACUUUUUAAACGUUACAGUGGUCGCAAAGAAAUUAUCGCGAAUUACAGACAAUAAUAACAUUGGGCAUUACGAAAAUCAAGAAAAUUGGUCGACCUUUACGUGGCUAUAUGUAGACCGGACAAACUGUUAGAAAAAAAAAUAUUACUUUGUUACGCCUCGCCCGUACGUAUAUUGGUGGCUAUUAUAAAAUACGGUUUUUUUUUUUUUUUUUUUUUGCAUGUAGAAUGUCUUAUUAUAGUUAAACACGGCAUCUUCUUUGUUCGGUGUCGGACUCAGUUCGCGCGAAACGAGAUCCCGGGCGUGUCUUUGCGGGCGGUAGGUGACCGCUUACCGAAUAUAUCGCGGGGUCAAAUAUUGAUUUGAGCGUGAUGGAGGAGGCGCGGAGGCAGUUAUCACGAACCGUUCCAAACGAUAUUGUUCCCGAGACGUCAUGAUAUGCAUAUUUAUUAAUAUAUAGCCGAAAACGUCGCCGCGUAUGCCCGCCUGUAUUAGACGUCUAGUCGUUUUGAGCGGACGGGUGUUUUUUUUCCAUAUAGUUCAUCAGAAACGUCAAUUAAGUUUCGUUUUUAAAAUUUGACACACGAGUGUAAUAUUAUUAUCAUGAUAAUAAAUAUUAUAAUAAUACAUUACGAUCCGAUCGUUCGAUAAAUCGAUAAAUAACAUAUCGGAUGAUUGCGUUUGAUAUGUAAACACCUGCAAUAUCAACACGCUUAAUAUAUCUUUACGAACCGUAUACCGUAAUAUAAUGUGUACAUUGUUUUAACCUUGAAAGCGUCAUGAUAAUGUUUCGAAGUUGGUUUUUUUACAUCGUCUUUAUUUGGGUUUAGAGGAAAAAAAAUAUUUUAAACUCGAAACUAUAGCCGUUCAUAUACUGCAGUAUCCUGUGAUAAAACGGUGUAUUGUCGUUUGGGUCCAUUUCCAGUGUCCCGUUGUGUGUGUCUAGUAUAAUUUCUGUAACGCGGUCUUGGAAUAUCGAAAGUCGUCGGGACACCGGGCGCUUAUACAGAAACGGUUUUCUUUUAGUACCUAUUCCAUCCGCCAUGUCAAUAGCACGACUAUCGUAAAUUUGAUUAUCGUUUAAUGAAAUUUAUUUAGAUCAAUAAUAAUAAUUAUAUUGUUUUAUUAGUACUAUUAGUAUUGUUAUUAUUUUUUUAUUAACAAACGUAAUAUUUAAAUUUAAUAAAAAAAAAACAAUACAUUAUCGACGUUUUCGAUCGUUUGAAGUCGUUCGAACGUAACCCAAGUAAAGUCGGACGCGCUCUUUUGAAAAGUGCGAUAGACAAUAGUCGGACUGAAGCGGCCCAAGUCUCGGCGAUCGCGUUGUCAACACAGGGGAAACGGCCACGGCGGAUCCGAGUCGUAGUUUUGCCGUUCGGGCGAUAAUUUCUCUGUGCGAUAAACUGCCGUUUUCCAUAAAAAAAAAAAAUAAAAAAAAAAUUUAUAUACACGAGUAAUAAACGUCGUUGUUAAACAUAUGCGCGCGUUUCCGGUCGCGGUACCAGACGAUAUUCCGUGUGCAAACGGAUCGUUUCCACCUCACCACGCCUGUAUCCACUAGCGAAUAUGUUUUCACAAAAGUCAUUUACGUCGUCUCGACGGGUAAAAGUUGUUGCACCGCAUGUAAAUUGCAACGCGUCCGAAAUCGCAGCGGGACUGCUAGGUAUUUAUAUCGUCAAAUAUUCGGACCACCGCGACGAGAUUUUUUUUUUUUCUAGAUUCUAAAUAUCGGGCAAAUAAACUAUACAAUUACAGUUACCGUUACGUCUCGUUUUUCUCUCAGAAAACACUUUUUCGGUCAGGCGAAAACGCUUCGAUCUCCCAUCUCGCGUUCGCCGGCUAUUCCUCAUGUCAUUCUCAACCGCAUCCAACUACUUCUUAUUUCGAUCAUCCUCUCCAAAGCUUUCCUCCUGCGGUAUUUUCAUUACAAUUCUUACGGAUUCAGAUUCAUAUUAUCACCGUGACUUCUCCCCGUGAAGUCGCGAAUUUCGUUUUGUAAGUUCGUUGGAGUCAUUACUUUGAUAUGUUUUUUUUUUUUAUAAAUAUUUUCAUAAUACGUAUUUUCGUUACGAUCGUAAAUACUAACGUAGGCUAUCAUAAUCGGCCACUUUUACACUCGUAUCGGAUUUUGAAACACGUGUAAAUCGAACAAAUUUAAUACGCUGACUAUACGUUCUAUUCGAGUAUAAUAAAUUUUUCGUAUUUUCGAACAGUCUGGCAAAUUUAUAAUAUAUACGGCGCGUAUACCUAUAACACGUUACAGACGAUCGCGAAUAUCGUUGCCAAACACGGCAAAAUAUUAUUUUAUCCAACUGUGUACAUUCAAUUGUUUCUAUACGUAUAGGAAUACGUUAUAAAAUAAACAUUCGAAUUUUUUACAGAAUUCGUUGAAAAUUUCGACUGAUUUGAAAUUAUUAUUCAAACACGUGCGCAAACAAAAUCCUCUCUCGUUUGUCGGUCGUUUCGUUUCAUAUACCAAAAAAAAAAAAAAAACUGUUCAUAGUGCGUGCGUUUACAAUCGAUAUUAUUCUGAAAAAAAAAAAUUUAAAAAAAAUUUAAUAAUGUACAAUCAGUGUUUCAUUGUACUAGUAUUUUGUUUCAUGUUAAAACAACGAAACUGCAAGAAAACAAUUAACGUGUUAUUCGCUACUGCUGCAAUAUAUUAUUAUUCUAUGAAGAAUAUGUGUACAUGGACAUUUUUGUUUUUUUUUUUUUUUUCUGCGAAAACGAAUUUUUUAAUAAUAUAACAAAAAAAAAGAAAAAAAGAAAACACGACCGGUUUCGUUUCGGCGUUUCAAUUUUCAAACGAGUAACGAACGUGUGAAUUAUCAUUUUAUACCGACGAAUCGCGUAUGCGUAACUGCGGUUACAAGGGGGGAAAUACACACGUUCGGUUCGUUGAACGGAAAAAUCGACAUAUUUUAUUUAUUUCGGACCCGGCUUUUGCGAAUUGUCACCGUUGUCGGGUUCGGGUAGAUUAGACGCGGUAGGUAGGCAAGUAUUACGUACCGCAAACGAAAAAGUCUCUACGAUAAUUGUUUUCGACCGCGCGCCCGGUGAAUACUCCCGGCGGGGCCACGCCGCUGAACCGCAAUCGGCCGGUACGACGGCCGGCGUUUGUAACGGUCGUUAUAUUUCUCACUUUCACACUUUUUCUCCCUCUCUCUCUCACACCGUCUCUCUCUCUCCUCCUCUCUGUUUCGCUGUCGUCCGCGUAUCGGAAUAAUUAUCCCGUACACAAUCGGAGUGUAAAGUGUAAGCCGCUGCGCGCGCGCAACGGCCGGCGUACAGUAUACGAGUUGUCGGUUCGCAUAACACAAUGCCGUAAAAACAAUAUGACCGAACGCGUUUGCGAUUGCGUUUACGCGGCCGGUCCCCUGUUAUUUUUUUUUUAAUAAGGUAUAUCGCGGAGCUAACCCCCCGCUCUUGAUAAAACGUUAUAACGCGGCUGCGACGCGGUGCGAUUAUUGUUGUUAUUAUUAUUUUUUUCCCCUCUUUUUCCUACUUGUUUUCUUUUUUUUUUUUUACUAUUAUUAUUUUUUAAUGUCACCUGUGUUGCCGCCGCCGUCUCAAUACUUAUAUAUAUAUAUUGUUGUGUAAAUUCUUCGCGUACCGCACGCGUACAUAUUUCCGUACGGGUAUGCCUACAACCCGUGACUGGUUUUCGCAAAACGGUCGCCGCGACGUUCAAUACAGUAUUGAAAAUGAAGAGAAAAAACAGGAAAAAAAAAAACCAAUAAAUUCCCGUUGUUUAAAAUUUCACUUUCAAGCGCGCGCGCGGUCUGACCGGGAUGCGAUAUUAUUGUUAUUAUUAUUUUUAUUAUUAUACCAGAGCGCGUUUUCGCCGUGUCGAUGAAGUUUCGUUCGAAAUUACCCGCAGAGCUGGGCCGACACCUAUAGGGGCCGACCCGGAGGCCGAUCCAUCACCGUAAAUAUACGGUGCCGAGUACCUGUAACAAUACCGUAGUCGAAUCGCUCGACAUUUCCCGGUCGUUUCCAACGCGGUUUCGUUUAAAGAUAACGAAAACCACAGAAAAUUAUAAUUUUGUACAUUGGCAAUCGUGAAAACCAAGUACCGAACGAGCGGUGAACGUGCACCGGAGGAUUCGGCACACGGUUAAUUAUUAUUAGAUUUCGCACGAAGCUUUCGUGGCUUAACAAUCAAACCGUGUGUUAUUAAUACAAAUAGCAUGCGAUUUAAAAAUGAUUUUACGAAAUGCAAUGUUUACCAUUUGACGGUUCAAUUGUUAUUGAUUCGAUCUCAUUCGUCCGGAUAAUGUGUAAAAUAACACCCGAAACGCAAAACCGAUCGUUGCAGUGUUGUUAAUCUCGCCCGGUAGUCUGUCUCUGAUGAAAUGGACAUUUCUCGUCCGCGACGGCCGAAUUGGAUAACAGUAAUUAAUACAGGAAAUCGACCGGUCCAUAAGUCGACAGUUUGCGAAAAAAAAAAAAAAAAAAAAACGUAUUUUACCGGUCCGGUGAAAAACGUGCGUGCCACAUUUCGAUAAAUAACGGAGCUCAUUACGUCCUCCGCGCCGUAUCGCAUGUGUACGUUUUGUUGUACACGCGCAUGUUGUUUUUUUAAACUUUACCGCGCACAGUUUGCCGGUGCACACGCCGUUCCGGCGAUCCGGUGUGACGCGUAGGAGCGAGACACUUUUCGGCCAAAACAAUACCGAGUUGCUGAGCCCCUCCCGUGCGUGUUGAUAAGUACAAAAUACUCAUAACGAAAGUUUAUGAACGUGUAUCAAGGAGAUUUGUUUGUGUGUUUUUAUGGUUAACGUGUCCUACUCGUAGUUGAACGUAUUUAUUUAUGUGUCUCGCGUACGAAUACACGUGUAUACGUGCGUUUGCGUUAUGACAAAAAAAAUUCAAACGUCCUGUUCGAAUUUGUCAGCAAGUCCCCGGUUCGCCGCAUAUCAAAAUUACACCGAACAAUGCAAUUACCGAUAAUGGGCGAAGUGAAUGGGUCGAAAAGCGAAUGGGGCGGCGGUUUCGGUCGAAAAAGGGAACCGGCUUUUUUUUUUUCAAUCCGGUCGAAAACGGUGACGCCGAUGCGACUCGGCACACGCGCCCGAGACCGUAAACACAAGUUUAUCGUACUGCUGCCGCGGUCUUAUCAUUCAUCCCAACUGCGGCCCGCGGACAGCGCGGAAAAGUCCGUUAGGUUAGGUUAGGUUCGGCGACGAACGUUGUUUACGAUUUCCCGACAAGCGAAAAUUGUUCGCGACGAGUCGAACCGGGUUUCCGGCGUUUCGAGUGGCGCCGGGUUUACGACGAUUCGGCCGAAUCCGCAGGCCCGUAUUCGCCGCGAACGGUUUGUGAAAACCGCGUCUGAAAAAAAAAAAAUCAUUAUUCCGCGGUUGUUACGCUCAAACACUCGGGCGGCGGUCGGGUCCGGGAAAUGGCGAGACGAAAAAAACGCGCGGCGGGGCCGAAGCGAGCAACACAAUCGACACGCGCGCGUGCGCUCGCGGCGAAACGACGCGCGUCGGAAAAUCUACGAGAUCGCUCUCCCGUUCGCCGGCGACGGUGGCGGGACGAAAUAAUUGUGUUGUCGAAUACCCGCGGCGGCGGACCGACCGAAACGGAGUCGGGUGGGAGGUUCAUUUUUCAACGGCGUCCGACUAUUUUUUGUUUUUUCUUGUUUCCCAGACCGGCGGUUCCGGCACGCGUACCGCCAGCGGGGUACUCGGACAGCUCGUCGGCGGUACGCGAAGGGAUUUCUCGACAAGCGAAACGAAAAAAAAUCGUAUUAGUCAUGACGCUGCGGCAUAUCGGACCCAUUAACAAUAAUAAGUAAAUAAGUAAACAAAAAGUCGAAAAACCGUAUACCGACCGGUACGUGAAAAACGUGAAAACGACACGCGGAUGUGAAAAAGGCCGAGAUGAUUAGUUCCGGUAUUAUCGAUUUUUUAACGAUUCGAAAUCAGUAUCGUAUGCGGGGCGUAGGUACAGUGCUGGGGACUGUCUGCGAAACUCUCCUCCGUUAUCGCGACGCGCCGCGGACCGGCUGAUUUCCGCGCGGUAACGCUACCGGCGGUGUAAUUCGGCGUUACGAUUUAACCGCGAUAAUUACAUUAUUUCCGUUAGAAUCGAACGGUAGAUGCCGCACGGACGGCGUCGUAAACCGCUUGUCUCUAUUAUACGGUUUCAAAAGCAUUGCGCUCGUAUUCACGCUUGUCAAAUAUUUCCGAAUAAUAUUGCGAACAAAUGACGUAAUUUCAAAUAGUAUUACCCAUGCACUAAAACUCAACCGAGUUAGUUAACGACGCGACACGCGAACGGCUUGAUUACGGGCCACUAAAAACAGGCAGCUCACAGAGUUACUGAGACCCGGUUACUUUUUAACUGUAUAAAACGCAUUUUCCGAGAGCGCAUAACCGCCCGGUCGGUAAUCUCCCGUCACACGAGCAUUCCGUCACCGGACGGGGUGUCAAAAAUAAAUUCAAAGUCGUAAAUAAAUCUAAGUUGUAAGUGAUCAAGUUUUUCGGACUUGGGGAAAAUAAUGUAUUUGAAAAAAAAGGUGCGCGGCCGGGCAACCAUCAUCAACGGAUGACGUGACACGGCACUACCGACAUCUGCAGGGAACGGCGAGGGGCGACCGAUGACGUCGACGACGACGACGACGACGACGACGACGAUGACGACGCCGUAAAGAGGCGUGCACCCGGGGGCGGCAGAGCGGACAGGCGACAGG